rnacentral:lncRNA from 1 species
UACUUUACCGCACAUUUAAUUUUAUUUAAGGUAUGGUGCGGGAUUAACGUCCAUACAGCAAGCAAUUUAAUUUAUGAAUUUAAUUUACCACACAUUUAAUUUUAUUUAAGGUAUGGUGUGGGAUUAACGUCCAUACAGCAAGCAAUUUAAUUUAUGAAUUUAUUUUACCGCACAUUUACAUUUAUUUAAAGUAUGGUGCGGGUUUAUCGUCCAUACCAGUAAUUUAUUUACCCGCAAUUUAUUUUAUGGAUUAAUUGUGCUGUAUGAUGAGUUUUUACAGUAUGCAGAUCAGGACCAGAAGUUCCUUGAUCCUCAUCAUACAAUUACAUCAGGACUUGAAGAUCCUUGAUGAUGAUAUUAAUAUGAGAGCUGGCAGUCUCUCCGGUACUAUAUUUGUAAACAUGUGAUUGGACUUGAGGGUCCUUGAUCCCUCACAUGUAAAUAAGGACCUGGGGUUCCUUAAUGAUGUAACAGUACCGUAUUGGUUCAUAGUGUCGUACACAUGGAUAAUAACUGUACUGGCAAAUGUACUGUACACAUGAAUAGAUACGUAUUCAUGACUUGAUGAAUAGUACCGGAUAUAUGAAUAGUGACGUAUACAUAAAUAUUAACCAUUUUGGGUAAACCAUCACUAUUCAAAAAGGGAACUUGUAGUUCCUUAAACUCAUGGAUGAGCAAUUAAAUGAGAUGCCAGAAGUUCCUCAAGAUAUGGACAAUUAUGUAAGGGCUUGAAGUCCAGAAAUAUGUACAGAAAAUUGUAAAAAUGUCCAUACCAUGAGAAUAUGUGAUUUUGGCUUGAGGUUCAAAAUCUAACAGUGUUGAGAACCUGAAGUUCCAACAAUUAAAUGGACAACCCUUGAGGUAUUAUUGCAGAUUGUGGUACGCCACAUAUUUCUUUGGCAUAAGAGAAUGAUGAAUUUAAUAAAGUUCGAUUCUGUUAUAAUCGGCACCUCAAGGAAGAAAUAUAUUUUGUGAAUUCCGGUUGUUAAGAAUACACCGUGAAAUGGAUAAUAUCAAUAUAAACCUCAAAUGAUGAAUUGAGGCUCCACACAUAUUUUGAUAUAUCUGGGCCGGAAGCACAUGGAUUCAAAUAUAUGAGAAAUCCCGAAUUUGAGGUUGUGGGUAUAUAGUAGUUAAUGCUCUUCACUACUAUAUUCCGAUAUUAUCGUAGCUUUUACUCAAUUCAUAUUUCAUGUCCAUUUGAAAGAGGGCGAAUAAAUUCUAAGUUUGUGUUUAGCCCAGGCCAAAAGUUCCAGGCUCCCAUACGUUGAAAUAUGAAAUUUGGGAGAGUCAAUGUGGUUAUUUGAACCUAUAAGGCGCAAGGUUCCAAACCGUCAUUUUGAAAAGACGUAAAAACCACAGGUGCAAGUUUAAGAAUGUGCGUAAUUAUUAUAACAGGCAAGGAGCAUACAACAGAUAGAUUUUUUCCACCUGCAAUGAAGGUGCAGGCCCUGUAAAAUCUAUAAAAAUACAUUAUGUUCUGGAAGCCUCUGAAGUAAGAGGACGACGCCUCUUAAGCUUAGCCAUGAGCCUCUCGUGGUCUCCCAAAAUUCUUUCAUUGGAGACCUGCAGCAUGUCUAGCCUUCUCAGUGUAUCAACAGAGUACGAACUCACCAGUUUCAACAAGGCAUUAUUCUCUCCUUUAAGUUUCUCAACCUCCUGUUGAGACUCAUGAAGCAUUCUUUGAAGAGAUGAAUUUUCAGUUGUUAGCUUCUGAACCUCGUUUGCUCUAGCACGCAAACGAUCAGCCAUGUUAGAAACAGAAGCAGCACUGUGAAUGCUAGAAGCCAUUGAGUCAUCAAUAGCCUCUUCCUCAGACCUCCCUGUUAACAGCAUUUCAUCCAUUGGAGUAAUGAAAUUUCUAGCUACUAUGACAGCAGUAGCAUCAUUCAUCAUCAUAGAAUCAUUAACUGUGAGAUGACGAUUUUGGGAUACAAAGGAUGGACGCCAAACUUUGGCGUCACUGGUUGCUGUGGGAGCAUCAUUCAAAUUGAAAUAAUUUGGGCAGGAAGAAGAGGAAGCCAUUUUUAAGAAGGUUUCGAAGAAAGUCUUAGGAAAACUAAAGUUUCAGAAAAUGAAGGAAGUUGAGUUGAAACGCAGUUGCUCCAAUCAAGUUUUGCAAAGGCAAUAUCUAUAGGAGGAAAUAUGGCUACUGUUUUUCAGGAUUCCAAUAUCUUCUCGGAUCCCCAUAUUCUCCUUUUCUUUCCCAGAUUCCAAAACUUCACGCGGCCUCCAUUAAUGUUUGUCGGCACUUUCGGCGUCUUCAAGUAUUAUUUUCGUCAAAAGCCGAUCUUGCUUUGCGGAUUUCACGGAGCUAUUUUUUCAAAAGUACCCCGAGAAUCUCGCAAUUUUCCUAUGGUUAAUUUGAAAUUCACCGGUUCUACCUAUUCCUCUUAUUUGUGUAUAAAAGUGUUACUAACGAAAUUUUCUUUGCAGAAGACAUCCAGUUUUCUCCAUACCUAGUGAUGCGAUAUCUACUUGUUUUUCUUAUCAGUGAGCACUCAAUAUGCCCGAGAAGCAAGACUAUCUCUGAUCAUCCAUUCAGGAAGCGAGACUAUCCCUGAUCACGUUUCCACCACAUCAGGGAACUGUGAAGACGACCUUAUGCUCUAAUCUCCGGAAGUUCUUCUAGACUAUGAGAAAUGAGAGCUUAUUGUCUGCAACCACCAGCUUCCUUCCUUGAUUGCUUGCCUUAUCUUGCAAUCAAUAUCACAUUAUUUUUGCAUUUUUUCUCUUUUUUAGUAAGAGAUUUUAUUUCUUUAGAAUGAACAUCUGAAGAAUGAAUCCAUGAAGUGAUCUUAACUAUGAGGGUUAUUUGUUUUGACAGAGGCAAAAGAGUUGUGAUUUUUUGCUCUUGCAGGAUAAAACUAGAUCAUCAAGCGCUACAUUAUAUUUACUGGGCCGAUACAAGCUUGAAUGAUACUUGAGAAAAGUUUCUCCCACCUAAGGAUGUAAGCAAUACUUGUGUUAUUUUAUGCUUAUAUACUUAUUUGAUAUUUUAUCUUGAAAGGUGACCAAAUGGGAAGAUAAGUCCGUUCCAAAAGAAUGGCUUGUAUGUAUCCAUGAAUUAUUAACGCAAAUUUUACAAAUUGUAAGUUGGAUACAUUGAUAAUACACUGCACAGAUUAAAGUCUCAUAAGAACAGAAUAUGGGUAUAGCAGUGAUCAAUAUGAUGCACGCCUGUUGUGUAGCAAAUGAUGUGGAUUGAAGUCCCGAAAGGACAAUCCUUUGACAUGUCAAUAUUGAUAUUGUGCACGCCUAAUGCGUAGCAAAUUGUAUGGGUUAAAGUCCCAGAAAUUAAUUGACAUGUAUGUAUUAAUCUGUGGCAUGCCUGCAGCAUGACAGAUAUAUGAGUUCUAAAUGUUCCAACUCCCUAAAUAGAGAUUAUCCACGCCCUAUUGUAAAAUAACGCUCCAUUGGAGGUUAUAAUCCACAUUCUCACAUAAUAAAAGCCCCAUGAAGUGGCUUGGGUACCCAAAAGCAAAGAAAUGCUUAUAAUUGAUGCAUGCACGUGCAAAUGAGAAUGAUGGGAUCAUGAAUUGAUGAAUGACAAUUUUUGGUUUUGGAGUAGCUACUCAAAUCAUCAAUGGGCUGUGUUAAUUGGAACCACGUUCAAUUAUUAAAUGUCGACAAUAUCAUUGGCCAAAAUGGAAUGAGGUAAUUCCAUUAUAGAUGAGAAUGAACGUGAAAGAACAAACCCACAGUACGAACCCCAAAAGAUGUUAAUACUGAAAUUUAUACUUGGGUGUUCGGAAUAAAAGGGAAUAUACCUACUUUGUAUGACACAGUGUUUUUGGCAGAAACAAGGAAUGUUGGGUUUUUUCCAUAUUUACAGAUUCAAUUGUGCCCCUUUACUGCACAAUUACGGAGACCAACAUGUUUUCUUUAAGGGUUAUUCAAUGCACGGAGUAUAUCACCAGAAGUGAUUCCCUAAAGAUAUAUAAAUAGCAUGGUUAAAGCUAUUUAAUGUGUCAUAAAGUUUAAUCCCUUUAAACAAAAUCCUUGAAAGGAUUGAAAUUGCAAGAAGCAAGUCCCUGACUGACAUGUGCCUGCAACACAAAAUCUGUACUCAAUGCUAAUGUGCAUAAAUUACCUCAGUGAGUACAUUGAUUAUAAUGUGUUUGCAACACAUUAAAGCUUCUGAAGAGUUCAUGAAAUAUUUGUCUCGACCUGAAAAUCGAGCGUUAUGCCAAUGAGAUUUUUGCUAAGAAAGUAUUGAAGCAUUUUUGUGUGGAUUAUCCGUUGGGCACUUAAAAAUAUCUCUAUGGUCGCUUAUUGGAAAAAGCUAGUCAUGAAGUUUUCAGGGGAAGAUAUUCAUCAGGGGGAGCGUGGUUUUAACGAGGCAGUGUCGCUCAAGAUUGACUCACAGAAGCAGUGUCAACUACGAUAUUCAGAAAGAUGAUCAACAGUAUGACUUAAAGAUAUUUUGCCAAGUAUCAGGGGGAGCGUGCUAUCAAUAACGAUCUUCAAACACUGUACUCUUUUUCCUUCGUCCAGGUUUUUAUCCCACUGGGUUUUUCCUGGAAAGAUUUUAACGAGGCAGUGUCGCACGCGUGUUAAUAUACACAGAAUUUUAUGUUACACAUAGUUAUGUACUCCUUUUCCCUUCGACCAGUUUUUUGUCCCACUGAAUUUUUACUGGCAAGGUUUUUAACGAAACAUAUUCCAUAUAAUUUGUGGUCUCUAAGGGGGAGUGUUGUAAAGUCAAGAAUGUGGAGUCCAAGUAAAAAUGCUUGCCUAUAAAUAAAGCUUUCUCCCCCCCCCCCAACCCCCCAACUUUGUAUUUUNNNNNNNNNNNNNNNNNNNNNNNNNNNNNNNNNNNNNNNNNNNNNNNNNNNNNNNNNNNNNNNNNNNNNNNNNNNNNNNNNNNNNNNNNNNNNNNNNNNNNNNNNNNNNNNNNNNNNNNNNNNNNNNNNNNNNNNNNNNNNNNNNNNNNNNNNNNNNNNNNNNNNNNNNNNNNNNNNNNNNNNNNNNNNNNNNNNNNNNNNNNNNNNNNNNNNNNNNNNNNNNNNNNNNNNNNNNNNNNNNNNNNNNNNNNNNNNNNNNNNNNNNNNNNNNNNNNNNNNNNNNNNNNNNNNNNNNNNNNNNNNNNNNNNNNNNNNNNNNNNNNNNNNNNNNNNNNNNNNNNNNNNNNNNNNNNNNNNNNNNNNNNNNNNNNNNNNNNNNNNNNNNNNNNNNNNNNNNNNNNNNNNNNNNNNNNNNNNNNNNNNNNNNNNNNNNNNNNNNNNNNNNNNNNNNNNNNNNNNNNNNNNNNNNNNNNNNNNNNNNNNNNNNNNNNNNNNNNNNNNNNNNNNNNNNNNNNNNNNNNNNNNNNNNNNNNNNNNNNNNNNNNNNNNNNNNNNNNNNNNNNNNNNNNNNNNNNNNNNNNNNNNNNNNNNNNNNNNNNNNNNNNNNNNNNNNNNNNNNNNNNNNNNNNNNNNNNNNNNNNNNNNNNNNNNNNNNNNNNNNNNNNNNNNNNNNNNNNNNNNNNNNNNNNNNNNNNNNNNNNNNNNNNNNNNNNNNNNNNNNNNNNNNNNNNNNNNNNNNNNNNNNNNNNNNNNNNNNNNNNNNNNNNNNNNNNNNNNNNNNNNNNNNNNNNNNNNNNNNNNNNNNNNNNNNNNNNNNNNNNNNNNNNNNNNNNNNNNNNNNNNNNNNNNNNNNNNNNNNNNNNNNNNNNNNNNNNNNNNNNNNNNNNNNNNNNNNNNNNNNNNNNNNNNNNNNNNNNNNNNNNNNNNNNNNNNNNNNNNNNNNNNNNNNNNNNNNNNNNNNNNNNNNNNNNNNNNNNNNNNNNNNNNNNNNNNNNNNNNNNNNNNNNNNNNNNNNNNNNNNNNNNNNNNNNNNNNNNNNNNNNNNNNNNNNNNNNNNNNNNNNNNNNNNNNNNNNNNNNNNNNNNNNNNNNNNNNNNNNNNNNNNNNNNNNNNNNNNNNNNNNNNNNNNNNNNNNNNNNNNNNNNNNNNNNNNNNNNNNNNNNNNNNNNNNNNNNNNNNNNNNNNNNNNNNNNNNNNNNNNNNNNNNNNNNNNNNNNNNNNNNNNNNNNNNNNNNNNNNNNNNNNNNNNNNNNNNNNNNNNNNNNNNNNNNNNNNNNNNNNNNNNNNNNNNNNNNNNNNNNNNNNNNNNNNNNNNNNNNNNNNNNNNNNNNNNNNNNNNNNNNNNNNNNNNNNNNNNNNNNNNNNNNNNNNNNNNNNNNNNNNNNNNNNNNNNNNNNNNNNNNNNNNNNNNNNNNNNNNNNNNNNNNNNNNNNNNNNNNNNNNNNNNNNNNNNNNNNNNNNNNNNNNNNNNNNNNNNNNNNNNNNNNNNNNNNNNNNNNNNNNNNNNNNNNNNNNNNNNNNNNNNNNNNNNNNNNNNNNNNNNNNNNNNNNNNNNNNNNNNNNNNNNNNNNNNNNNNNNNNNNNNNNNNNNNNNNNNNNNNNNNNNNNNNNNNNNNNNNNNNNNNNNNNNNNNNNNNNNNNNNNNNNNNNNNNNNNNNNNNNNNNNNNNNNNNNNNNNNNNNNNNNNNNNNNNNNNNNNNNNNNNNNNNNNNNNNNNNNNNNNNNNNNNNNNNNNNNNNNAAAUCAGGGAUUUCUGGGAGUUGAGGCUCUCUUUCCCACGGAUGUUUCAAGACUCUAUUUUUCACCAAUCUUCUUUUUCUUUCACUACUCUUCCAAGGCACAUCACACGAGUGAAGAACCGCUAUGCAGAGCAUCAAAGGGUAAUGUCCGCUGAAAUACCCCCGGUUAUUUGUCAGUUUUACCCCGAAACUUGGUCCUCCCCAUAAGCUGGAACGUCGUAGCAGCUCAACAUAGUGGCCCUCCAGACAUCCCCUUAGUGGAUUCUUUUACUCCCCCCCCCCCCCACCCCCUCUCUCGUACCUACAUCAAUAUCUAUGUUCUCUCUUCUCCUCCCGAUCUGAAAUUUCUUGGGUAGGGUUGGGAUUCAAUUUUCUCAAUUUGGGGAUUUCCAGAUUCCGAACAGCAGCUCCUUCCAAACUUCUCAAUUCCCGAAAAUACGAGAGGUGAAUUUUUCAUUUUUAUUAUUUGUUGUGUUCUUCUCUUGCGUGAGUAUCAAUCUUCUUGGUAUAUAUAUAUAUAUAUAUAUAUAUAUAUAUAUUUUCCGAUCCGAUUGGUUUAUUUUUGUGUUCAAUUCUUGGGUUUGUCUGUUUUGUCCUUGUUAACCCCCAAAUUUCUUUUUCUUUUUUUGGCAUUUUGGUAAGCUUGUUGAUCGUCGUGUGGUGCGACAGUUUUCAGAAUUCGUGCUUUUUGUUUUUUGUUCUUUUGAUUUUUAAUUUUUCGAUUUUAUGUGUCUUUUUAAUUGAUUUCUGAGUGCAACUACAAUUUGGGAUUCUUAACCUUUUCUACUUUCUAAUUAGGGUUUUGGUAAAGAAAUCUUUUUAUUUGCCUAAUGCAUGUGUUAAUUAACAACACAUCUACAAUCAAUUUGCUCCAACCUGGGAGAAUCAUAAAUUUUCAUUUGCUUGUUUUAUGUGCAAUGGUGAGUAUUUAAACUAGAUUUUUUAGCUCAAGGGGAAGGAAGAAAAUGGGAAGAUAAAAAUUAAAAUUACGGAGCUGAGGGUUCUGUCAAGUUGAUGCCUUCAAACUUAUGUUUUACUAAUUGAUGCCUUGAAAAUUAGAGUUUCAAUUUUUGGUACUAAGAAAUAAUUUUGCAAUGCUGGUUAUAUUCCCCAAUGAGCUACCUUUAGAUGGUGUUAUCAAGUGUUUUACUCCCUUCAAAGAUCAAGGAUGAGAUUCGUGUUUGGGUGCUUGAUUGUUACUUUUGACAUUGAAUUUUAUAUCAGCCUUUACAGACUCCUUUUUCUUGUAUUAGACAGAACUUGUAUUGCUAUAGCCCAUAUCGGUCGGCGAGUUUUGUGCAGUUUGAGACACUGAGUGCCACAUAUUUAUGAUAUUCAAUUAAAUUGAACAUUAACUCAGGGACUCGCAUAUUGUAGUCAAGCUCGCAUGCCCUGUGAUAUGUAUAGAUAAAUUACAUUAUGUUGUAAAUAUAUAAGGUGGAGCUCACCUCCAAUUGGAAGGAGCUUUGCCUACAAAAGGGUUCACUCUUCUCUUUAUAAUGCCAGAUUGAUAAUACUAAGAGAGGAACCAAUUCAAGGGUUUUUCUCUACUUCUAAAUUCUCUCUCAAAUUUCUUGGUUUUCUAACACGUUAUCAGCACGAAAAGCUUUAUUUUAUCGCACAUUUAUUUAUACUACUAACCAUUGUAUAAUAUAUAUAUAUAUAUAUAUAUAUGAAAAGUUGAUGGUAAUAUAAUAUGCUAUAUCUAUUUACUUUUCUAUUACUAACCACUAACAAAAAAUGGACCUUUGGUAAUACUAAACAUAUUAUCAGUGGGAGACCGUUACUAAUACUAACAUUUUUUUUAUUUUAUUUGGUGGUGGUUUUAACCCCUUAUUUAUUUUAAUUACUGUAUGGUGUAGUUUUAUUACCCAUACGACAAUAUUUAUUUAAAAGGGUGGCGCGGGUUUAUCGUCCACGCCUUUCUUUUUAUUUAAGAUAUGGUGCGGAAUUAACGUCCAUAUAGCAAGUAAUUUAUUUUAUCGCACAUUUAAUUUUAUUUAAGAUAUGGUGCGGAAUUAACGUCCAUAUAGCAAGCAAUUUAUUUUACCGCACAUUUAAUUGUAUUUAAGAUAUGGUGCGCAAUUAACGUUCAUAUAGCAAGCAAUUUAUUUUAUCGCACAUUUACUUUUACUUAAAGUAUGAUGAGGAAUUAACCCUCAUACUUUAUGAAUUUACUUUACCGCACAUUUACUUUUAUUUAACGUAUGAUGCGGGUUUAUCGUCCAUACAAGCAAUUCAUUUACCAAUAAUUUAAUUUACAAGCAAUUUAUUUUAUGGAUUAAUUGUGUUGUAUGAUGAGUUUUUUUUUACAAGGAUACAGAUCAAAACCAGAAGUUUCUUGAUCCUCAUCAUACAAUUACAUCAGGACUUGAAGAUCCUUGAUGAUGAUAUUGAUAUGAGAGCUAGCAGUCUCUCCAGUACUAUAUUUGUAAACAUGUGAUCGGACUUGAGGGUCCUUGAUUCUUGAUAUGUAAAUAAGGACAUGGGGUUCCUUAAAUGAUGUAACAAUACUAUAUUGGUUAAUAGUGCCGUACACAUAAAAAUAACUGUAUUGGCAAAUGUACUGUACACAUGAAUAGUGCCAUAUACAUAAAUAGUGAUGUAUGCAUAAAUAUUUACCAUUUUGGGUAACUGUCACUAUUCAAAAGGGAACCUGCAGUUCCUUAAACUCAUGGAUGAGCAAUUAAAUAAGAUGUCAGAAGUUCCUCAAGAUAUGGACAAUUAUGUAAGGGCUUGAAGUCCAGAAAUAUGUACAGAAAAUUGUAAAAAUGUCCAUACCAUGAGAAUAUGUGAUUUUGGCUUGAGGUUCAAAAUCUAACAGUAUUGAGAACCUGAAGUUCCAACAAUUAAAUGGACAACCCUUGAGUUAUUAUUGGAAAUUGUGGUACGCCACAUAUUUCUUUGGCAUAAGAGAAUGAUGAAUUUAAUAAAGUUCGAUUCUGUUAUAAUCGACACCUCAAGGAAGAAAUAUAUUUUGUGAAUUCCGAUUGUUAAGAAUACACCGUGAAAUGGAUAAUAUCAAUAUAAACCUCAAAUGAUGAAUUGAGGCUCCACACAUAUUUUGAUAUAUCUGGGCCGGAAGGACAUGGAUUCAAAUAUAUGAGAAAUCCCGAAUUUGAGAUUGUGGGUAUAUAGUAGUUAAUGAUCUUCACUACUAUAUUGCGAUAUUAGCGUGGUUUUUACUCAAUUCAUAUUUCAUGUCCAUUUGAAAAAGGGCGAAUAAAUUCUGAGUUUGUGUUUAGCCCAGGUCAAAAGUUCUGGGCUCCCAUACGAUGAAAUAUGAAAUUUGGGAGAGUCGAUGUGGUUAUUUGAACCUAUAAGGCGCAAGGUUCCAAAUCGUCAUUUUGAAAAGACAUAAAAACCACAGGUGCAAAUUUAAGAAUGUGUGCAAUUAUUAUAACAGGAAAGAAGCAUACAACAGAUAGAUUUUUUCCACCUGCAAUGAAGGUGUAGGCCCUGUAAAAUCUAUAAAAUUACAUCAUGUUCUGGAAGCCUCUGAAGGAAGAGGACGACGCCUCUUAAGCUUAGUCAUAAGCCUCUCGUGGUCUCCCAAAAUUCUUUCAUUGGAGACCUGCAGCAUGUCUAGCCUUCUCAGUGUAUCAACGGAGUGCGAACUCACCAGUUUCAACAAGGCAUUAUUCUCUCCUUUAAGUUUCUCAACCUCCUGUUGAGACUCAUGAAGCAUUCUUUGAAGAGACGAAUUUUCAGUUGUUAACUUCUGAACCUCGUUUGCUCUAGCACGCAAACGAUCAGUCAUGUUAGAAACAGAAGCAGCACUCUAAAUGCUAGAAGCCAUUGAGUCAUCAAUAGCCUCUUCCUCAGACCUCCCUGUUAACAGCAUUUCAUCCAUUGGAGUAAUGAAAUUCCUAGCUACUAUGACAGCAGUAGCAUCAUUCAUCAUCACAGAAUCAUUAACUGUGAGAUGACGAUUUUGGGAUACAAAGGAUGGACGCCAAACUUUGGCGUCACUGGUUGUUGUGGGAGCAUCAUUUAAAUUGAAAUAAUUUGGGCAGGAAGAAGAGGAAGCCAUUUUUAAGAAGGUUUCGAAGAAAGUCUUAGGAAAACUAAAGUUUCAGAAAAUGAAGGAAGUUAAGUUGAAACGCAGUUGCUCCAAUCAAGUUUCGCAAAGGCCAUAUCUAUAGGAGGAAAUAUGGCUACAGUUUUUCAGGAUCCCAAUAUCUUCUCGGAUCCCCAUAUUCUCUUUUUGUUUCCCAGAUUCCAAAACUUCACGCGGCCUCCAUUUAUGUUUGUCGGCACUUUCGGCAUCUUCAAGUAUUAUUUUCGUCAAAAGCCGAUCUUGCUUUGCGGAUUUUACAGAGCUAUUUUUUCAAAAGUACCCCGAGAAUCUCGCAAUUUUUCUAUAGUUAAUUUGAAAUUCACCGGUUCUACUUAUUCCUCUUAUUUGUGUAUAAAUGUGUUACUAACGAAAUUUUCUUUGCAGAAGACAUCCAGUUUUCUCCAUACCUAGUGAUGCAAUAUCUACUUGUUUUUCUUAUCAGUGAGCACUCAAUAUGCCCGAGAAGCAAGACUAUCUCUGAUCAUCCAUUCAGGAAGCGAGACUAUCCCUGAUCACGUUUCCGCCACAUCAGGGAACUGUGAAGGCGACCUUAUGCUCUAAUCUCCGGAAGUUCUUCUAAACUAGGAGAAAUGAGAGCUUAUUGUCUGCUCCCACCAGCUUCCUUCCUUGAUUGCUUACCUUAUCUUGCAAUCAAUAUCACAAUUUUUUUGCAUUUUUUCUCUUUUUGUAACUCUCUGUUCAUAAGAGAUUUUAUUUCUUUAGAAUGAACAUCUGAAGAAAGAAUCCAUGAAGUGAUCCUAACUCUGAGGGUUAUUUGUUUUGACAGAGGCAAAAGAGUUGUGAUUUUUGCUCUUGCAGGAUAAAACUAGAUCAUCAAGCGCUACAUUAUAUUUACUGGGCCGAUACAAGCUUGAAUGAUACUUGAGAAAAACUUCUCCCACCUAAGGAUGUAAGCAAUACUUGUGUUAUUUUAUGCUUAUUUACUUAUUUGAUAUUUUAUCUUGAAAGGUAACCAAAUGGGAAGAUAAGUCCGUUCCAAAAGAAUGGCUUGUAUGUAUCCAUGAAUUAUUAACGCAAAUUUUACAGAUUGUAAGUUGGAUACAUUGAUAAUACACUGCACAGAUUAAAGUCCCAUAAGAACAGAAUAUGGGUAUAGCAGUGAUCAAUAUGAUGCACGCCUGUUGCGUAGCAAAUGAUGUGGAUUGAAGUCUCGAAAGGACAAUCCUUUGACAUGUCAAUGUUGAUAUUGUGCACGCCUAAUGCGUAGCAAAUUGUAUGGGUUAAAGUCCCAGAAAUUAAUUGACAUGUAUGUAUUAAUCUGUGGUAUGCCUGCAGCAUGACAGAUAUAUGGGUUCUAAAUGUUCCAACUCCCUAAAUGGAGAUUAUCCACGCCUUACUGCAAAAUAACGCUCCAUUGGAGGUUAUAAUCCACAUUCUCACAUCAUAAAAGCCCCCUGAAGUGGCUUGGGUACCCAAAGGCAAAGAAAUGCUUAUAAUUGAUGCAUGCGCAUGCACAUGAGAAUAGUGGUAUCAUGAAUUGAUGAAUGACAAUUUUUAUUUUUGGAGUAGCUACUCAAAUCAUCAAUAGGCUGUGUUAAUUGGAACCACGUUCAAUUAUUAAAUAUCGACAAUAUCAUUGGCUAAAAUGGAAUGAGGCAAUUCCAUUAUAGAUAAGAAUGAACGUCAAAUAACAAACCCACAGUACGAACCCCAAAAGAUGUUAAUAUUGAAAGUUAUACUUGGGUGUUCGGAAUAAAAGGGAAUAUACCUACUUUGUAUGACACAAUGUUUUCUGGCAGAAACAAAGAAUGUUAGGUUUUCUUCAUAUUUCAAUUGUGCCCCCUUGUUGCACAUUUACGGAGACCAACAUGUUAUCUUUAAGGGUUAUUAAAUGUACGGAGCAUAUUGCCAGAAGCGAUUCCCUAAAGAUGUAUAAAUAGCUGGGUUAAAGCUAUAUAAUGUGUCAUAAAGUUUAAUCCCUUUUAAACAAAAUCCGUUGAGAGGAUUGAAAUUGCAUAAAGCAAGUCCCUAAAGGACAUGUGCUUGAAGCACAAAAUCUGUACUCAAUAUUAAUAUGCAUAAAUUGCCUCAGUGAGUACAUUGAUUAUAUUGUAUUUGCAAAGCUUCUGAAGAGUUCAUGAAAUAUUUGUCUCGACCUGAAAAUCGAGCGUUAUGCCAAUGAGAUUUUUGCUAAGAAAGUAUUGAAGCAUUUUUGUGUGGAUUAUCCGUUGGGCACUUAAAUAAUUUUUCGGACGUAUAUUAGACCGGACAUUGUAUAUUCCAGAUAGAGUUCAACUCCAUCACCAUCACUUUGGGAUGAUGUGAGGCAUAUUUGAUGCUAUCUAAGCACAACACCAUAUACGGGCAUAUUUUUGAAUGAACUUAUAAAUAGCCCAAGUGGAAAAAGCUAGUCAUGAAGUUUUCAGUGGGAGAUAUUCAUCAGGGGGGAGCGUGCUAUUGAUAAAGACCUUCAUACACUAUUGACUCACAGAAGCAGUGUCAACUAUGAUAUUCAGAAAAAUGAUCAACAGGGGGAGCGUGCUGUCAAUAAAGAUCUUCAAACACUGUACUCUUUUUCCUUCGUCUAGGUUUUUAUCCCACUGGGUUUUUCCUGGUAAGGUUUUAACGAGGCAGUGUCGCACGCUUGUCAAUAUACACAGAAUUUUAUGUUACACAUGAUUAUGUACUUUUUUUUUCCUUUGACCAGUUUUUGUCCCACUGGGUUUUUACUAGCAAUGUUUUUAACGAGGCAUAUUCCGUAUCAUUUGUGGUCUCCAAGGGGGAGUGUUGUAAAUAUAUAAGGUGGAGCCCACCUCCAAUUGGAAGGAGCUUUGCCUACAAAAGGGUUCACCCUUCUCUUUGUAAUGCCAGAUUGAUAAUACUAAGAGAGGAACCAAUUCAAGAGUUUUCUCUACUUCAAAAUUCUCUCUCAAAUUCCUUGGUUUUCUAACACAUUAAGUACUCCUUGAACGACUUGUGCCCUGUGAUAAAAAUUAUAAAGAAUUCUUGGUCAUGGAAUAUUGUCUCUAAAUAGUAGUUUAAUUAAAUUAAACAAUACAUAGUUGUGGAAUGUAUGAGUGUUGUACCAUAGUUUUUCUCAAAAUAAUAACAUAUGAAGGACCUUAAAAUAUAGCCAUGCAUUGUUGAAGAUAAAAAAAAUUUAGCCAUACACUAUUUUUUUUAAAAUUAAUAUUUUGAAAAUCUAAAUAUUUAGUCAUGGACUAUAUUUAGCCUUAUGACUGGAGAUGACCUUACCUGUAGAUCGGUAGUCUCAACAAAAAUGUCAUCAAAAAAAAAAAAGGAGUAACAUUUCCCACGUCAAUUAUUUUUACAGUAUCAUUCACUUUCGGCGGAAAAUCAGAGAACAAAACAAGAAAAAGAGAAAAAGAAAAGCAACAAGCACUCAUGCACAUACUGUAACACUAGCCCCUUGACACAUGCUCACGCAUGUGCCAAUUGGUUUUUUUUUUCUUUUUUAUUUUAUUUUUAGAAUUAAUAAAAGAUAACAGGAUAGUUAUGUUCCAUAAAAGUAGGACCUAUUAUCUUAUUUUGUUUUUAAUUUUAAUUUUUUUAAUAUUAAAAAAUGUGAAUUUAUCAUAUUAUUCUUAUUUAUUUAAUAAUUUCAAUUCUUAAUGUUUGAAUUAACAAAGGUAUUUUCUGCUAUUUUGAAUGCUUCACCAUUCCCUGCCUUCUGCUUUAUAUAUAUAUAUACACUUGCUAAGCACCGUUGCUGCUCUGCGUCUUCUGUUUUCGUUCGCAUUUAGCAUCUUCUCUCUCUCUCUCUCUCUCUCUCUCUCUCUCUCUCUUUUGUGCGGAGAGACUCUUUGCGUUUCUGGAGCAAUCCGCGCCAACUGUAACUACUACUUUUUACUCUACACACUUCACGCACAACGAUUUUGUUCAUGAAAACCUAACUGUGCUGAGAAAAUGUGCGAAUUGGGAUAGGGUUUAGGGUCUUGAAUCGAAUUGACGGAUAAUAGGGAAUUUUCCAGGUACCAAAAUCAUAUCUUUUUUGGUUUACCUAUUGUAAUGUUUGGCUGCUGAGAAAGUGUGGGAAUUGGGGAUUUGGGAAGGAAAGUUUAAUGUUUAAUGUUUAAUUUUUAAUUUUAAUUUUUAUAUAUACGAUUCUUAAAUUUAAUAACUUCGGGCUUAUGAAAGUGGCAACCGUAUAAAAACACGGAUUUUGAUUGAUCUUUUUCGGUCCGGUGUUUUGGUACGCUUAAAUUUGGGUUUUUCUUUACCAUUUUGCUGAUUAUUACUAAAUGCCUAAUGCAGUGAUUGGGUACACACUGGAUUUGCAUGUCUGACUAUUCACUUGCAUAUCACUGUGCGCCUCCCUGCUUUCUUGUUUUGUUUGUAAAAAUGGGUAAUUGCUUCUAUGCGUUGGGUCAUUAGAUUUGCAUGAGGAUUUGUUGUAUGAUUUUGAACUGAGUAAGGCCCUUUACCUGUUGCUUGAGGAAAAAAAAGACGAGGUGUUGCUUUGAGGCAAAUAUGUCAUAAAUGUUGAUGGAAGAUAGUUUGUUUCUUUAUGUUCACAAAGGGGCUCACAAUUUCUGCUGUUCUCAUUCAGGUUGAUAAAAUUUAUGCACCAGGACCUGAAGCUGAGCUUGUAGUGCGGCAUGGGAUUUGAUAAUGAGUGCGUAUUGAAUAUCCAAUCUCUUGCCGGAGAGUACUUUUGUCUGGUUUGUAGUCUGCUUGUCUACCCGAUGAAGCAUUGCAGUGACAGUGCACUCAUCUAUACUAGAAGCCAUGUUUGACAUACGUUGUGAGCCCUACCUGACAGUUCCCAUAUGACAGCUACUUAGUGACAGAAGCCGAUGCCAAGGUCCUUCCUUAUACAACCUUGGUCGUAACAAAUAUCUUUGAUCUUUAUUAUCUGCUUAUGGAUACAACUUUACUGUAACUAAUCAAUGCAGCCACUUGUCGAACCGAAUAAGACCCGCUCUGAAACCAUAGGAAAAGUAGCAGUUCAUUGCCUCUAUCACAGGAGUGGAUGCACAUGGCAGGGAGCUCUGGAUGUGCCUUUGGCAAUUCUCCUGUAGUAUGCAACAGGUGUGGAAUCCAAAUUGUGCUUCGUCAGGCGCAGGAGCAUGCACAAAAUUGCCCUGUGAGUAUUUUAGUUUUUUUUUUUUCUUACAAGAUGAUAAGUUACUAUCUGGAAUUUAGAAAGGAUUUUAUGGUUAUCUUUUAAUGACAGGGUGUGCACCCUCAAGCGCAGCAGGCUGAUGGUGCUUUGGACACUUCAGCUUCUGGCACAUCAGCCACUGCUGAUCAGACCCAGGCUGCCACUCAGUCAGGAGUAGCGAUGUCUCAGGUCCAGAUUUUUCAAAUUACAAUUGUCACUCCACCUGGAUCCGAUCCAGAUCAGGAAGCAAACUCUAGUUCUCAAGCUGUUGUUCAAGCUGCUGUGCAAACUGCUGAACAGUGGUACCAACAUCAGCAACAAUAUCAACAGUACUACCAGGCAGCAGUUCAACAAUCACAGCAGCGGCAUUUGCAAUCUCAUCCACCAUACGGGACAGUCCAGCAUCAACCUCGGGCAUACUUGCAAUCUCGGCCCCAAACUCAACCUUCACUACGGGCCCAACUAUCUCAAUCUCAAGCUCAACCCAAACCCCAAAUUCAGCCCCCACAUGUGCAGGUUCCUGUUGCCUCUCAAACUCAAAAUCAGGCACAAGUGAACAAACAGCAGCAACUUCGCCCUGCAGUGCAGACUUAUCCAGCUGCUCGUAGGCAGCCACUCCCUCAACCUCAAUAUUUCCAAGCUCCAUCCCAUUCACAACCACAUCCUCAGCAUGUGCAAAUGCCUCAUAAUCAGCAGGCCCAAAUUCAGCAACAUACUCACUCCAAGAUUCACCCGCAACACCAUCCCAUUUCUCUACCCCAACCUCAUUCACAACCUCAGCCACAUCCACAGCUUCAACGGCUUCCCCAGCCCCAUCCCCAACUUCACCCUUCUCAGCCCAUGAAUACUACCGUCCAGCCUCAGACACAACAUCCAUCAUCUCAUGCAGUGACUGGUAAUCACUUGUACCCUCAACCCCACCUUCACCAACCAGUGCAGUCAGGCGCCCCACAACAACGUACUAUGGACAUGCAAUCUCAUGGUGUACCUCACUCUCAGUCACAAACUCCUGUUCAAAUACAGAGUCAGCCCCCUCAACAACCCCCAGUCAUGCGGCUGCCCCCAUCUCAUAUUCCAAACCAGCAGCAGCCAGCUUUGUUGCCUUCUCCUGGUCAAAUCCGAAACAUUAAUCCUGCACAACAGCAGCCGGUUCACUCUUAUGCUCAGCAACCUGGGAAUACUGUUCAACAGCGCCCUCUUAUGCAUGCAGUUCAACGAUCGAUUCCUCGUCAAUAUCUCCACCAUCAGCCCUAUGUACAACAGCAACCACCUACACAGUUACAUCCCCGGGGUCAAUCUCAUUCAUUCCCUCUACAUGUUCAUGCCUAUACACAGUCUCAGCGGAACAUUGCAUUGUCUCAGGGCAUUCAACUUAGCCAGUCUAAUCUUGGCGGAAGCAGAAGGCCUAUGAUGCCAAUUCAUGGAGUACAAUCUCAGACCUCUGUACAAACUGCUGGAGGUCUUCACAUGAGGCCAGUGCAUCCUACUGUAAAUCUUCCAUCUACAAAUCACAGCAAUAUGGUCAGAACAAAAAACCUAGUGCAAUCUGGAGCGAGCUGGAGACCAACCACGUCUGAGAGGCAUGCUGAGGAAGAAUCUGAGUCAUCAGCUCAGCAAAUUGCUAAAAAUGUUACACAUGAUGUGGGUACAGCAUCUGCUGUGGUAGGUGAUGCCGAAGUUAAAACUGUGAAAUCUGAUAUGGAUAUGAAGUCCAUUGAUAAUGAGAAUAAACCUACUGGUGAAGAUAAAACUAAUCAUGGUGAUACAUCUUCCAAGGAGAUUCCAGAUAUACAUGCACUUGAAAAUGGAGAGUCUGUAAGUCAAUCAAUGUUGAAUGCAGCGGAUCAAAAUAAGGUACGAAAGUCGGGGGUGGCGAGAGGGAGGCAUUAUAGAGGGGUGAGACAGAGGCGGUUUGGGAAGUUCACGGCUGAGAUUCGGGACCCAGCUAAGAAGGUAUCCAGAAAGAGAGUGUCGCUUGGGUGCUAUGAGACCUCUGAGGAAGCGGCUUUGGCUUAUGACAGUGCCGCCCAACGCAUACAUGGCUCCAAGGCUUUGCUCAAUUUCCCAAUCUGACACACCAGAUUGCCUUGAACGAGCCUCCACCUGUCCGAGUCACCGGCAAGCUCAAAGAACCGGAGAAAGAGGCUGCCACUGCUUCAACAACGCCGAAAUCCAGUAAGAGGACCACUCCUCGGCGGCUGACCAUGAUCAUCAAGCAAAUGUGUUUCGGACAAUGCAAAAGAAUAGUAUGGGUCUGCUGUCACUUGGCGAGAAACUAUUGGUUAGCUAGCUGAUCAUUAUAUUAGUUUUCCACAAACUCUACAAACAUCACUCUCUUGCUCUUAUAUUUUUCCGUACAGUUGUACCUUACUUAUUGCAGCUGACCCUCUCUUUCCCCGAGUAAGUGUGUAACAUCGUGUCUACUUUGUACACUUAUUCAGCUGCUUUUGUUGGAAUUUGUUCCUACUUAUAUGUAUAUGUGGUGGAAAUAUCUUUGUCUUUUCAAAUUCUUUAUGAAAUUAUGGUUUUGUUAUAUGUUUUAAAUUUUUCUCUGUACAACAAAUUAAACUUGAAAAAUAUUUUUUUGUCUGAAACUCUUUUUAUGAAUGACGAAAGAUGAUUCAAAUAACCUAUAUGACAAAUUAAACUUCUAAUGAAAGAUUUUUUUCAGUAUAUCUUUUCACUAAGUUUUCAGCUUCUCCUCGGUAAUGUUGAAAUCGUAACAGUAAAAAUAUUUAGCUUUCCAAGUUCAUAGGGUGGCGAAAUUUUGAAAGUGUUGAAUUUUUUCUUGUUCAGAUGAGAUGGCAUGUGAACGCUUGAAUUCUUCAAGUGCGACUUUUCUUCGUAUUAGGAUUUUGUAUUUGGGUUUUUUUUGAGGUAGUCUAGCUUGAACUAUCGUCAGGCAAGUUGCCCUCCACCCAUUCUUUUUUGUUCUAAUAUUUUUAAGUUGUGAUCCAAACUGUUUUCUCUGAGUACCUUUGUUUUGUUAAAAUUAAUUACUUGUAGUGUUGAGCUGUUUUGACUGAUUUGUGGGUAUUCUGCUUGGUAUAUUUUAAAUUGUAGCUUAGUCUCUCGGUUCUGAAAGGAUGGUAGCAGAGUUAUCUUCAUAGAGUCAGAUAAUUAUUUCAUUGAUUUUCUCCUUAGUCUAUUGACAAUGCCUAUGGGAAAAAUUGUUAGGCUUUCCGGUAGUUAUUCACUUCCAAUGGGAGUCGGUUGCAUGAACAAUUUAUAUCGAAGUGUCCAUUAUAUUGAUGAACAGAUUUUGCUAACUGAAGAGUGUUGUGCCAUGCUGCUGUGCCCCCACAAUGCAGCUGAAUCCUUUUUAAGUAGGCUUAAAUUGAAUAUGAUGAUUGUGAGACCACACGUUAAUUCUUCAAUAAUCCAUGUUGCCGCCUCUGUACGAAAAGUUUUAGUUAUUAUGCAAGUGUUAGUUGUUGCCAUUGUGGUGAUCUGAUGGAUCAGGGGAUCAAUGUUUCAGCAAAUCGUGGUCUGGUUGGUGGGGGUGAUUGUAGACCAGCAAGACAGACUUAUACUUACUCUCCUUUUCUUGCCAAGCUUGGAGUUGUGGAUCCAAAAGCUACUGAGGAGAGGACUUUCAAUGUAGGCGUUGACGAGGUUAUUCUAGUGAUGACAUAUUAGUAUAUGCUAACCUUUCUUGGACUGCAACACUGGUUUCGGAUCUCUGUCUUUUACUAGGUUGUGAACUUGCUUAUGUGCUCAUUAGUCCCCAAGACUCCCUUUACUGAUAUGCUGCUCAAGCCUAAACCAGAAACACAAUUGAUCAACGAAUUUUGUGAUCAGCGAAUAUCUAUAAUUUCUCAAGUGGCAGAAUACACCAUGCGUGGUGAUCCAAACAUUUCUUUUACACUUAUAGUUAGCUAGUCAACCAAGAAGGUUUGCUAUGCUGAAGCAGGGGAGGAUUUUGUAAUUUUUUUUCUUCAGUUUCCUUAUUGUUCCACUUGGGUUUAUACUGAAGCAGAUAGGCGAUGGUUCUUCUUGGAAAGGAUGCAUUGAUAACUUGUACAAGAGUGUAGAAGAUAUUGAUGGCCAAUACUUGAUGUCAACUUCCCAUAAAACAAUUCUACUUAGUCCCAAGCUAGCCCCUGGUUUUAGCUAUGCUAACCAUCCUUCAGAAUUGAGGGAGCCACUUCCCACUCUAAUAGAUCAGAGAAACCAGUUUUUGUAGACCCCCCAAAUCAUGAUUGUGUUGGAGGAUUCUUAAGAGCUCUGGCAAUGUACAUGGUAACUGAUAGCCUGAUCGUAAGACCGUUAUUGCCAAUCUUUGGCCUCUCCGUUGUGACCAAUUGAGUGUACCUGUUGCUGACAUUGAAGUGCAAUGAAUCUUGGCAAAGUGGAGGUGAGUUAUAUAUUUGAUUUGCAAUUUCUGAUUUACUGUUUGAACUCUGGGUUUAUUUUAGAUUUGUAAUGCCUUUGAAAUUGUUUGUAUUUGACUCUCCAUAGACCUGUACUUCUACUUGGGGUGUCCAACUGUGAUGGGUUGAAGUUGAACAGUAGAAGAUGGCAUUGUUUUGUAUAUAUUGUGACCUUUUUUCCCCUCUUUUAGUUGUUGAUGUUUUUAUGUUUUGUACUGCAGGCUGUGAAUUUGGUGGCUGCUUUUCUUUUUCACUCUCCUCUAACUGGUUUCUAUAGGAUGACAGAUCAAGAACAUUAGAGGCUGUUUUUAAAAGCUGUCGUCGGAAGGCCAUUGCUUUUGAAAUGAUCUAGUUGUUUUAUUUGUACCAAAAACUUUCUACUGCUCAACUUUAAAGGGAAACAGCUUUUUUGUGAAAAACAGAGGAGGAUGUAUUUGUUGAAAACAUGAGCACCAGUAGACAAAUUGUUGUUUGGGGCUAUCAAACAAGAAGUAGCUAUCAAUUGUUCUUUCUUUGGCUGCCAAAGGAAGACACCGGUGAGAUCAGAGUCGGAAAGAAAAGAGGUCACGAAAAGAUCUAGAGCCUGCAGCGAGUAACGGAACAGAAGAUUAAUAAUUGAACGAAUUUUUAUUUUGGCCUAAUCACCUGUACAAGUGCAUUUAGAAAACACUAACAUCCUCCUUGGCAACUGCACAACUUGCUCUGCAAGGCCAGGGAAAGACAUCUUUCCAUUUUCCAUUCGUUCAUAACAACAGAAAGAGCGAACAGAGGAGAAUAGGCCUUAUAAUCAAACUGGCAGUUAAAAUAUGAGCUUAUAUGGUUCUGUCCUGUAACUUGCAUAAAAAUAUGAGGCUACAGGGCCAUCCCUAAAUCCUAAUAGACUCUUCUCGUAACAAAAACCGUGAUAAAGCUUGCUCAUCAAGAUCCUGAUCACUCUUAUGCAAAUGGUCAAUGCAUCCUUUCAAAGAGCUAUUGUGCAAAUGUUUCAAGGCAAACCCAAGAGGAAUGGUUAGGAAACUAUAAGAGUAACGUCCUGCUUCUGCAUAACAAAACCAUAAGCUUCAUUCACAUAAAAUUAUGCCGGGUACCAAUUUUUUACAGUUAUACUCUAGGAUGGUAAAUUCCCAAAAAAAAAAAUUGGCAUAACCACCAACGGCGUCGUAUCAUUCACUUUCGGUAGAAAAUCAGAGAACAAAAGAAGGAAAAAAAAACAUAUAGCAUAAACACAACAUACACUUGUUAAGCACCGUUGUUGCUUUGCGUCUUCUGUUUUCAGUUCGCAUUUAGCAUCUCUCUCUCGCUCUUGUGCCGAGAGACUCUUUGCGUUUCUCGAGCAAUCGGCGCCAACUGUAACUACUACUUUCUACUCUACAAUCUUCACGCACAACCAUUUCGUUCAUGAAAACCCUAAGAUUUAUUUUUAUCUUUUCGGUUUUUACAGGUUGAACUGGGCUAGGGUUUAGGGUCUUGAAUCGAAUUGACGGAUAUUAGAGAAAUUUCAAGGUACCAAAAUUAUGUCUGUUUUGGUUUACCUAGUGUAAUGUUUUGGCUGCUGAGAAAGUGUGGGAAUUGGGGAUUUGGGAAGGAAAGUUUUAUGUUUUAAAAAAAAAUUUAAAUAUACGAUACUUAAAUUCAAUAACUUCAGGCUUAUGAAAGUCAAAACCGCACUCAUCUAAAUCUGUAAACGCACAAAAACACGGAUUUUGAUUGAUCUUUUUGGUUUGGAUUUUUUGGCACGCAUAGGACAGUUUGGGUUUUUCUUUUCGAUGAUAUUUUGCUGAUUAUUACUAAAUGCCUAAUGGAGUGAUUGGGUACGCACUGGAUUAGCAUGUCUGAAUAUUCACUUGCAUAUCAUUGUGUGCCUCUCUGCUUUCUUGUUUGGUUUGUGAAAAUUGGUAAUUGCGUUUAUGCGUUGGGUCAUUUUCUUCUUCUGAGGAUUGUUUGUAUGAUUUUGAACUGAGUGAGGCCCUUUACCUGUUGCUUCGAGGAAAAAUAAGAUGUGUAGCAAUGAAGCCAAUGUGUCAUAAAUGUUGAUGGAAGAAAGUUUGUUUCUUUAUGCUCACAAAGGGGCUCACAAUUUUUGCACUCAUUCAGGUUGAUAAAAUUUAUGCACUAGGACUUGAAGCUGAGCUUGCAGGGCGGCAUGGGAUUUGAUAAUGAGUGCAUAUUGAGUAUCCAAUCUCUUGCCGGAGAGUACUUUUGUCCAGUUUGUCGUCUGCUUGUCUACCCAAAUGAAGCAUUACAGUCACAGUGCACUCAUUUAUACUGCAAGCCCUGUUUGACAUACGUAGUGAGCUCUACCCGAGCUUGCCCAUAUGAUGGCUACUUAGUGACAGAAGCAGAUGCCAAGGUCCUUCCUUAUACAACCUUGGUCGUAACCAAUUUAUCUGAUCUUUACUGUCUGCUUAUUGAUACAACUUUACUGUAACUAAUCAAUGCAGCCACUUAUUGAAUCAAAUAAGUCCCUUGCUGAAACCAUAGGAAAAAUAGCAGUUCAUUGCCUCUAUCACAGGAGUGGAUGCACAUGGCAGGGACCUUUAUCUGACUGUACAUCUCAUUGUUCUGGAUGUGCCUUUGGUAAUUCUCCUGUAGUAUGCAACAGGUGUGGAAUCCAAAUUGUGCAUCGUCAAGUGCAGGAGCAUGCACAAAAUUGCCCGGUGAGUAUUUUAGUUUUCUUUUUACAAGAUGAGAAGUUACUUCUGGAAUUGAUUUUAUUCUUAUCUGUCAAUGACAGGGUGUGCAGCCUCAAGCGCAGCAGGUUGAGGGAGCUUUGGAUACUUCAGCUUCUGGCACAUCAGCUACUGCUGAUCAGACCCAGGCUGCCACUCAGUCAGGACUAGCAACAUCUCAGGCCCAGGUUUCUCAAACUACAAGUGUCACAGCACCUGGACCUGAUCCUAAUCAGAAAGCAAACUCAAGUUCUCAAGCUGUUGUUCAAGCUGCUGUGCCGUCUGCUGAACAGUGGUACCAACAUCAGCAACAAUAUCAACAGUACUACCAGCAGUAUCCUGGGUAUGAUCCAUAUCAACAACAGUAUCAGAACUACUAUCCCUAUCAACAGCCAGCAGUUUCACAAUCACAGCAGCAGCAUUUGCAGUCUCAUCCACCAUAUGGGACCGUCCAGCAUCAAUCUCAGACAUACUUGCAAUCGCAGCCCCAAACUCAACCUCCACUACAGCCUCAAUUAUCUCAAUCUCAAGCUCAAGCUCAACCCCAACCCCAAAUUCAGCCCCAACAUUUGCAGGCUCCUGUUGCCGCUCAAACUCAAAAUCAGGCACAAGUUAACCAACAGCAGCAACUUCACCCUGUAGUGCAGACUUACCCAGCAGCUCAUGGGCAGCCACACCCUCAACCCCUACCAUAUUUUCAAGCUCCAUCCCAUUCACAGCCACAUCCUCAACAUGUGCAAAUGCCUCAUAAUCAGCAAGCCCAAAUUCAGCAACAUACCCAGUCCCAGCUUCUCCCGCAACAGCAUCCCAUUUCUCAACCCCAACCUCAUUCACAACCUCAGCAACAGGCACAGCUUCAACAACAUCCCCAACCCAAUCCCCAACUUCACCCUUCUCAGCCCAUGAAUGGUACCAUCCAGCCUCAGACACUACAUCCAUCAUCUCAUGCAGUGACUGGCAAUCACUUGUACCUUCAACCUCACCUUCACCAACCAGUGCAGUCAGGGGCCCCACAACAACAUACUAUGCACUUGCAAUCUCAUGGAAUGCCUCACUCCCAGUCACAAACUCCUGUUCAAAUACAGAGUCAGUUCCCUCAACAACCCCCACUUAUGCGGCCGCCCCCAUCUCAUACAACAGUUCCAAACCAGCAGCAGCCAGCUUUGUUGCCUUCUCCUGGUCAAAUCCAAAACAUCAAUCCUGCACAACAGCAGCCUGUUCACUCUUAUGGUCACCCACCUGGGAAUACUGUCCACCAGCGCCCUCAUAUGCAGGCAGUUCAACAACCGAUUCCUCAGCAAUAUUUCCACCACCAGCCUUUUGUACAACAGCAACCACCUACACAGCUACGCCCCCAGGGUCAAUCUCAUUCGUUCCCUCAACAUAUUCAUGCCUCUACACAGUCUCAGCAGAACGUUACAUUGUCUCAGGGCAUUCAACAUACCCAGUCUAAUCUUGGCGGAAGGCCUAUGAUGCCAAUUCAUGGAGUACAAUCUCAGACCUAUGCACAAACUGCGGGAGGUGUUUACAUGAGGCCAAUGCAUCCUGCUGCAAACCUUUCAUCUACAAAUCAGAACAAUAUGGUCAGAACAAACAACCUAGGGCAGUCUGGAGCAAACUCUGGACCAACUACAUCUGAGAGGCAAGCUGAGCAAGAAUCUGAGUUUUCGGCUCAGCAAAAUGCUAAAAAGGUUGUACAUGAUGUGGGUACAGCAUCUGCCGUGGUAGCUGAUGCGGAGGUUAAAACUGCGAAAUCUGAGACGGAUAUGAAGUCCAUUGAUAAUGAGAAUAAACCUACUGGUGAAGAUAAAACUAUUCAGGGAGAUACAUCUUCCAAGGAGAUUCCAGAUAUACAUGCACUUGAAAAUGGAGAGUCUGUAAGUAAAUCAAUAUUGAAGGAAGAGGGUGUGGAUGGUACUCUGGACCAUUCAAGUAAUGGUAAAUUGGGUGAAGUUGUAGCUGAGGGUGUAAAAGAUGUUUCCAUCAGUGACAUGAAACAGAGAGAGCUUAAAGAAAUCCCAUCUGAAGAAGCUCAACUUCGUGAAGAACAGGGUUGGAUGUUGCAGAAGGAUGCUAGUGGCGAUCCGCAGCCUUUUAUUGGCACUGAUGAGGGAUCUCAAGCUGUAUCUACUUCAGCUCCAAUAUCUGAUCAAGGAAAGCAUCUGCCUCAUCAUGGACCUACUACACUCCCUCAAAGACCUGGCGCACCUCUUUUGUUACAAGUGCCUCCAGGACCUCCUUGUCAUACACAGGGGCCUGGGCAUCAUUUAAGGCCUCCAGGGCCUGCACAUGUUCCUGGACAGCCUUUUCAUUCAUCUGAGCAUUUCCAGCCACAUGGUGGCAACCUGGGCUUUGGAGCAUCAUCUGGCAGGGCAAGUCAGUAUGGUCCUCAAGGAAGCAUCGAACUGCAAUCUGUUACUCCGCAUGGGCCUUAUAAUGAAGGUCAUUUACCGCUUCCACCCACUAGUGCUUUUGAUUCUCAUGGUGGCAUGAUGUCAAGAGCAGCACCAAUUGGACAGCCAUCUGGUAUCCACCCAAAUAUGUUGAGGAUGAAUGGAACUCCAGGCCUUGACUCCUCAUCAACUCAUGGGCCGAGGGAUGAAAGGUUUAAGGCUUUUCCAGGCGAGCGGUUGAAUCCCUUCCCAGUGGAUCCGACACGUCAUGUUAUUGACCGAGUAGAGUUUGAAGAUGAUCUGAAGCAAUUCCCUAGGCCUUCAUAUCUGGAUUCUGAGCCUGUUGCAAAAUUUGGGAAUUACUCGUCAAGGCCAUUUGAUAGGGCACCUCAUGGCUUCAAGUAUGAUAGUGGUCCACAUACAGAUCCUCUAGCUGGCACUGCUCCAUCAAGGUUCCUGUCUCCCUAUCGUCUUGGUGGUUCAGUGCAUGGGAAUGAUGCAGGAGAUUUUGGGAGAAUGGAGCCUACUCAUGGUCAUCCAGAUUUUGUUGGACGGCGUCUUGUGGAUGGUUUGGCUCCUCGAAGCCCAGUUAGAGAUUACCCUGGCCUCCCACCUCAUGGGUUUAGAGGCUUUGGCCCUGAUGAUUUUGAUGGCAGGGAGUUUCAUCGAUUUGGUGAUCCACUUGGAAAUCAAUUCCAUGAGGGUAGGUUUUCUAAUUUGCCCGGUCAUUUUCGUAGGGGAGAGUUUGAGGGUCCUGGUAAUCUGCGAAUGGUUGAUCAUAGAAGGAAUGAUUUUAUUGGUCAAGAUGGUCACCCUGGUCAUCUUCGGAGGGGAGAUCAUUUAGGUCCUCACAACUUGCGAGAACCUCUGGGUUUUGGUUCUCGUCAUUCACACAUGGGAGACAUGGCUGGGCCCGGGAACUUUGAGCCAUUUCGAGGCAACAGGCCCAAUCAUCCUCGCCUUGGUGAGCCUGGAUUUCGAAGCAGCUUUUCACUUCAGAGAUUUCCAAAUGAUGGAACUUAUACAGUUAAGUAUUUGCUUCAGUCAUUUGCAUUAUGUGUGUGAAGUGAUGCACCAUGUUAGUAGAGCUCCUAUUGGGAUACUUUAUUUUUAAUUGUUUUUUCAGUUCAACUUUUUGAUGUUAUGGAUAUCUUCAGGGAGAUCUGGAGUCUUUUGAUCACUCAAGGAAAAGGAAGCCAGCUAGUAUGGGGUGGUGUCGGAUCUGUAAAGUUGAUUGUGAAACAGUGGAAGGCUUGGACUUGCAUUCACAAACAAGGGAGCACCAGAAGAUGGCUAUGGAUAUGGUACGAAGCAUUAAGCAGAAUGCCAAAAAGCAGAAACUGUAAGUUCUCUGUGCAUAUCAUAGUUACUGCUUGACUUCAUAUAUGAUUAAUUUUUUUCUUUUAUCUAUUUUUCUUUUCCAUUUAUGGUUUAGAAGUCUGGUUGUGUGUGUGUUCUUUUAAAUUUUGUUUUGCUUCUUUUUGUAGAACCUCUGGUGAUCAGUCCUUAUUAGAGGAUGCAAACAAGUCAAAAAUUCCAGUAUUGAGGGCCGGGGAGAAAAGCAUUGAUUGAUGAUGGUGUGCUGCAAUGUGGAUCUCUUUGGUUGCAUUUCACUUGGGGUCCAAUUGUUUCUUUGGUAUUAUUGCGUUAGCAAUAUAGGUGAUGCACCCUUCCAUGCCUCUUUUUUCUACAUUCGGGGUGGUUCAUGCUAGUUUUGUCAUUUCAGGUUGCUGCCAUGUUAAUGGAGAUGGUAUUUGGAACUGGAGUUCAAUGGCAGUUAAGUUUGUUGGUUUUUGACUCUCAAGUUUUCUAUUCUCACUAGGAUUGUUUUCUGUUGACAUUAUCAUCUUAGAAAUUCAAAAGUGGUAUACUGCUAUCGCUUAUUUUGCAUUUGGAGCUGAGAUGGCAUUUGGUUUAUAGCAUUCUUGAAUGUAUCUUUUACCUUUCCAAUUCUUAUGUUUCAAGUUUGUUCAUGUUUUGUUCGUUAUGCUCGGUGCGAUGAAAAAGUUGGAAUUUUACAAGAUCAUUAGCCAGGAAAACUUGAUGUGAUGAAUUUUUAGAAUGAGUGGAUCCUGGAAUAUUAAAGUAUGGUACAACGGGAGAUGAUAGAAUCCGGAAUGAAUCAACAAAAUCCUGUAUUGUGUUCCAGAUCUGUUAGAAUUAUUGUGAUAAUAAAGAAUCCGAUGGUGGUCUAGUGAUGGCUUUGUCGUUUUUAUCAUGUUCUGUAGUUCAGAUGUGUAUUUUUUCUUAGAAAGGAUCUCAUUGCUACACAGCUCUCAAAACAUGGACAUUACCUUGAACAUUAAAGCUCUCUAAUAUAAGUAUUUUCCUUUAUAUUGUAUAUAACUUUGUAAUUUUACAUUAUUGUCAUUACAGUUGGCAACAAUACCUGAUUUCAAGUUUUGGAAGUAUCUAUGAUGCUGUCUGAAUUGUUUCUUCUUUUUUAUUAUGAGCAGAGGCACAUCUGUAUGUAGUAUGAUAUUAAUUAAUCAACCUCAUCCUUGGUACUUAAUUGGUAGAAAUUGAACUGACCAUGUUAAGCAGAGUAGUUAUUAAUUUUUUUACUAACAUUUCACCCCAAUUGUUCUCAAUUGUAGCUUAGUUGGAGGUGCUAAAAGGAUGUUUGCAAAUAUAUAAGGAGUUUCUCUAAAUUGAUCAGACUUACUGACAAAUAAUUGUUAAUCUCUAGUACUGUAGUAGAUUUAAAAACUCAAUAUUUCGGGUGUAUAGGCCUAUAGAAGGCAAUGAUUAUAGUGUACUUUACUAUGUAGAUUAUACAGGGAAAAUUCAAGUGACUCUUAAGAAAAAGUGAGUGAGCCUAAGGAAUUAGGUAUUUUGAGACUAUGAUCGUAUAUCUUAGAGGCUUUAUUUUUUCUUUUCUCUUUUUAGUAGUUAGCAGAGAUAGCUUCAUGCUGUUGUUUGUUGGACUACAGACCUACUAUCUUUUAUUUAAUUAUCUUUAUUUUGUGGCUUGUGAAUCAGCAUUUAUUUGAAGGAUAUUGUUUUGCUGAUAAACUAGGCUAUGAGACGAAUAUUUGCCCUGCUGGCCAUAUUGGUUGGAAAUUGGUCAACCUAAGCAAUUGAACAAUCUGGCGAACACAAUUAAGCUGUAUAUUCUGCAGUUGCUUGUUACUUUUACUGGUCUAGUACUAUCGGAUAUGGCUGAUGCCGUCAGCAUAGGUUACAUUGAUGUUGGACAAGAGGAAUGCUAUUUGGUGUAGGGCAGAAGCAGAAGCUGCUGUCUGGUUGCUGUAGCAGUACAAAACCACGCUAGAGAAGGGAUAUUAAGCACUAAAUAAUGGUCAAAACAAGAGAUAGAAAGCUACGAGAUUUUUAAAUCAAUAAGAAACAGAGAAAGAAAGCAAUAGGAUUAUAGUUGGAAUGUUGAUAAAUUAGUUAUAGGGCAAAGAUACCAAAGUGAGACUACAUUCUGAUUUUGUGGGACAAAAGACUGCAUAAAAAGCCUCUAAAUAGGGUAUGUAUAUUAGGGUUACAAGCAUAGCAUCCUAGCCCUUGAUUACUUCAAUAACUAGUCAAUCUUAGCCUCCAAAAAUACUAACUCACAUGACCAUUGCCUGACUAUUAAAAAGAGACUAGGAGAAAUACUAUAAGCUACAAACAACAUAAAACAUAAAAAUCAAACAAGACAAAUAAAAGAUAAGCAUAAAACUGAAACCCCAAACUAACUAGAACCCAAACCAAAUGCUCCUGCAGAUGCUCCUGAAUCAUUAUAACGAGUUUCUGUUUGUUUUCCUAGUAACUGGAGGUAGAUCUUGUCUCAUUAUUUUUACAUAUGGAAAGGCUUUUCAAUUUUUUUUAAUCUUUAUUGCUAUUUCUCUUUUUGCUGAAUUGACUAUUGAUUCUUUAUUAUUUUUAGCUUCUAAGGUCGAUUUUAUAGUUGAUUUUUAUUUUUGGUGGAAUUUCUCUUUUCUAUAAUAGAUCUUUUCAAUUCGACCUGUCUUUUUUCGGCGAAGCAGACUACGUAAGGGCUGAAAGUUUAGCAGAGAGGUUUACUCUGUCAUCUGUUUUUGAUGUGGUAAGAUUGUGUUCAAUGUACAGAUUUUAUUUUGAGGCAAAAUUUGCUUGUUAGUGAUUUCAUUGUCAUGCUGAUAUGUUGGGGGUUCUAUCUGUUUCUACAUAUUUACUAUUGUGUAUACAAACGGUGCAUCCUUUGAAGGGCUAGGAUAACCUUAGGAAACUUAGGAGGGUUGUAAAUUUGAUCGCCUUUCAUCUUUAGAUACUAGCUUUAAGAAGCCGUAGGCUUAAAUUAUUAUAUGUGUACUGGAAUUGUUAGUGGUAGGGCUCAAGACUUAUCUAGCAUAUUGCAUAAUGACAGGCUGAUGGCCGUUUUACCGUUGCAUUUUGUGGAUUAAUUUCAUUCUUUUGUUUUUGACACUUGGGUGAUGCAUAUUUGGAACUGUUUUAAAUUUCUUACAUAUCGGAAAAACUUGCAGUCUUAUGGUUUUUUUCAUAAUUGUAAAAAAAAUAAAAAUAAAAAUAAAAAUCUUGGACUGUGAAGGGGAAUACUUUGAUGGCUCUUUAAAUUAUUAAUCCAUGAAAACCUUAAGAGUGUUUCUCAUAAAAAGAAGAAAGAAAAAGUCUGAGCGUUUCUUUUGUCUAACACCAUCAAAAGAUCUCCUGAUAUGACUAAAGAGUUUCUCUUGUUCAUGAAGAUUUUUUCUUUCUUUCUUUCUUUUUCUUUGGGGAACUUCAAAGGAAUCACCACAACUACUGCAUAUCAAAAGAUAUCGAAUUGCAGUCUCAAACUUUUCCUUGAUGCUUGUAGUGUAUUCGUUUUGCAGACCUGUUAGAGUAUUUUUGUUUGUCUAAGUAGCCUUCAUUACUUUUCUUCUCUUGCAUUUUAGAUAAGCAAAUUCUGUUUCGUAUGGUUGGUUUUAGACUCAGACUAAAAGACUGUUUUUACCUCUUCUAAGAGUAAACAGAUUUCUUUAACCUUCCUGGUUAUAUGGGAAUUUGAUUUGGAUAUUACACUUGAAAUUAGGGAAAUAGGGUACCUUUUUUCACAUAUUGGAAUGCUACUGUCAACGCUAAGAAGCUCUAAAUUCAUAAUGGAGUAAGCUUAUUUAUAUUUUUAUGCAUUUGUGCAAUGAUGUUGACAUGAUCAUGAACAUGUUUCAUAAUGAACUCUAAAAUUUAUGAUUUACUAGCAAUAUCUUUUAUUUAUUUCAGUAAGCAUAUAUUCGCAAUGCAUGUAUCAUCUCACUUGCAGUCACCCCGUUCUCUCUUGUCCUUCCUCUUGUUUUCCUUCAAACUUAAAGAAGAAGAAAUUGGCCUUUUCCGUCUCUUUCCCACUUUCGAUUGAGUACACUGGAAUCUUAGUUUUAUUCAACAAGAUUACCAUAACUUUUAUGGGUGACUUGGGUACGUUCUGAAAUAGGAAAACUUUAAGGGAUGAUCAUGCUUUCAAGCCAAGAAAAUUCGUUAUAAUAGUCCAGGGCUUUUGUGAUCAGAGGCAUAUGCCAAAGCGUUGCCAAUUUGCAUGCAAUCCAAUGAAUAAUGCAGAACUGAGCAACUUAAAUGAUAACUACACUGAAUAAAAUACACAAUAUUUAUUUAACCGGAAAAAAAAAACACGAUUUGGAACCUGCACCUUGUCUAGAUGCUUAACUUUUACAUGAACUCAAGUAAAUUUUGGAUUUUAUUGCUUUUGUCACACUCAUGUUUUAAGUAAUGCUGGACUAGGAAAUAUAAGUGUAGCUUGUGACUGACAAGAAUAACACAUAAGGUCCCGAUCCGAAAAAGAAAAACCAGAAAAAUUGUAAUAUGGUGAAAGCUAGGUGAGAUAGUAUGAUGAUUGCUUAGGCAGAGAGCUUGAUUGAUUACUUAUAUAACGUACAAUGUAGGAUGCUUACUGUUUUUUUCUAGUGCUAGCUUAUUCUUGAAGGGUGUCUGUGGGUCUCCCCAAGCUGUGUAGAGAGAGAUGAGGAGGUUCGUUCAGUCAAGCUAUGGAUGUUGUUCCCUACCUUCCAAAACUUUAAUGCUUUUUCAAGGGCUUCUUUUCAUCUGCAAUUUUAUCACAAUCAUGGGUUGAUAUAUUUGUAUAGGAAUAUGAUGUAAAGCUUUAGUUUUUGAUUUUCUAAGACAUUGCUUGGUCAUGGGAUCUCCAUGAGAGAGAGAGAGAGAGAGAGAGAGAGACCCUUGAGUGAAAAUAGGUUUUGUGUUCCACCACAUGUAUUAUUAAUUCCCCUCUCUAAAAGUAAGAAUAAAAUCAACUUUAUUGUAAUAUAUAUAUAUAUAUAUAUAUAUAUUUGUGUUGCCUUGUCAAUUUUUGCUCUAGUGCAAGUAUGUGACUUUUUUUAGCUCUGCAAAAAAGCUACCAAGAAAAUAGGUUUACUUUUUCACAGCAAAGCGCUCCGAGUUCGUUGUGUUUGAAUUUGGAUGCUUUUCUUGCGUGGGCUAAUAAUUCAAGGUCAUUAUGGUUAAAUUUUGAAAUUUUCUAAAAACGCCCUUAAUUAAUUCAUGUUUGAAAGAAAAUACCAUUCGUUAUCUGAGGGUAAAAGAGUAAAGCCGCUGGUUAUAUACUAAUCUCUCUCAUUAUAUCGAGGAGUGUCAUAUUAUCAAGUGGAUCCACUUGACUGUAUUUUUCUUCUUUAUUAUUAUUAUUUUUAAUGAAAUCACAUGACAUGAAAUAUAAAUUAAAUGUAAGUAAUCCGAGAGAGGAGAGAAAAAAAAAAAGAAGAAAAAAAAGCAAGUUGUGCUCCAAUGGGGUAAUUGAGGUAAUUAAAAUCCUUUCAUUUUAUGAGGUAAUUGAUGUCCAAGUGCAAGGCAGAAAUUUCUUAUGAAAGGAAUUUUUUUUUUUUUCCCCUUAAUUUCUUUCAAAGUCUAAGAGAAAAUUUAUAUGUAGUAAAAAUGGUUCAAUUUGUUUUUAACGAAGAAAUUUCUAAGCGAUGAUGAUAUUAUACGAUAUGUCGAACUAGCGUUACACAUUUAACUAAAUUGUACAAUCGUUAAAUGUCGAAUUUUUAAAUUCUAAAGCUUCACAAGGUAUAUCCGUAAUCUCAUAUUAACAUAUCACAUGUCAUAUGAUAUUGUGUUACACUAAUUUUUUAUUUUUUGAUGUGUAAAUUAUAACAGUUGGAAAACUGGGGUUAACGCAAAGGAGCCAGUUCCCCUCGCUGUAUCAGAUCACGAAUAAGCUUUUUGCCACGCAGCUCGAGGCGGCAGAAGCUUUUUAAAUGUCAUUAACCACCAGAUCGGUGAGGGGGCAGUUCAGUCUUUUCACUCUUCCGGAUCCAGCAUUCGUAAACAAAACAAAACCAGUGGGGCCCAAUCGUAUCCAGCUGUAUCUGCAAAUUCUAAAUUCAAAAACUUCGUAUGGGCUCUAAAAAAUUUAAACCGUUUUUACAACCAUCAAAUGAAAUGGCAUCCAUCCAGCCGUUGAUUCUCGUGAAGAUAUUUAACUUUAAACAGCCAAUCAAAAACCCCAAAAAAAACAAAUAAAAUAAAAUUAGCAAAGAGCCGUUAUAGGGUUACAGCUCACUCUCUCUAUAUAGAGGCCCCCCCUCUCACUCUCUCCUCCUACCCUCCUCAUUUUCACCUUUGCGCCUCUCUCUCUCUCUCUCCCCUCUCGAUCUCGAUCUCUCUCUCUCUGCAGCAAAACCCUAGAACCGAAAAUGCGUGAGAUUCUUCAUAUCCAGGGAGGCCAAUGCGGUAACCAGAUCGGAGCCAAGUUCUGGGAGGUGGUCUGCGCCGAGCACGGCAUAGACUCCACCGGGCGCUACCAUGGCGACUCUGAGCUUCAGCUUGAGCGAGUCAACGUAUACUACAACGAAGCCAGUGGUGGUCGAUAUGUUCCUCGAGCUGUGCUCAUGGAUCUGGAGCCUGGCACCAUGGACAGCAUCAGAUCUGGGCCAUAUGGCCAGAUCUUCCGACCUGAUAACUUCGUUUUCGGUCAAUCUGGUGCUGGAAACAACUGGGCCAAAGGCCAUUACACUGAGGGUGCAGAGUUGAUCGAUUCGGUUCUAGAUGUGGUUCGCAAAGAGGCGGAGAAUUGUGACUGUUUGCAAGGUAUGUAUGAACACUGAAAUGACCAAACCCUAACUGUAAUUAGUGAGAUUUUUGAGAUUGGGGGUUUUCAAUUUUGGUUUGGUAAACCCCUAAUUGUGAUUUGUGAUUUCGUGUUGCAGGGUUUCAGGUGUGCCAUUCGCUGGGUGGUGGUACUGGAUCUGGAAUGGGAACGCUUCUGAUUUCUAAGAUUAGGGAGGAGUACCCAGAUCGGAUGAUGAUGACCUUCUCUGUGUUCCCAUCUCCCAAGGUCUCUGAUACUGUUGUGGAGCCUUACAAUGCUACUCUGUCAGUUCAUCAGCUUGUGGAGAACGCAGACGAGUGUAUGGUGCUUGACAAUGAAGCCCUCUAUGAUAUCUGCUUCCGUACACUUAAACUCACCACCCCCAGCUGUAAGUUCCUUCAUAUCUUCGCUGUUGUUUGGAUGGAUCGUUCUUAUGCUAUUUUAUGAUUAUGUAUCUUGAUUUACUCUGGAUCAACAUGUCAAGUUCUGUCAAGAUCAUCCAUGUAACUUAGGUCUUUGUUAGAGGAAUAAAUUAUGCAUGAUGGCAUUGGCAUAGAUGAUUUAUUGCAGCAUGAAUUCAAGGUUCAAGCAUGCUUCGGUAAUUUUAAGGAAAGAUGACAAACGUGUUUUCAUUCUGAGUUAUGUCAAAUAUAUGAUAUGGUCAUAUUGAUUGCUCUUACUUCUGAGAGUAAUUAGCUGCUGUUCAUUUUCUGCAAAAUGAGUUUCGGCGACAUUGAAUGUCUUUAUUGUUGGGUUCUGAAAGCAUGAGUUGUAUGUGCUGAUGAUGAUGCAUAUUUUGUAGGUUAAAAUACAUUCCUGUUGAUGGUAGUUACUUCUAAAAGUAAUUAGUUGUCGUUUAGUCUCUGAUGAAAAAUGAGUUUUGGCAAGCAAUGGAUGAUCUAAUCUUUCUUUCUUUGUCAGAGUUUUGAAAGCAUGAAUUGUCUGUUGUGUGUGCUUUUGAUAGUAAAUACUCUAUGAACUUGCGUUAUAUUGCCCCUUUUGUUUCCUAAAAGGAGCAUAAAAGCUGAUAUCAUCUUCUCUGCUUUGCUGUUUUACAGUUGGUGAUUUGAAUCAUUUGAUAUCUGCAACUAUGUCUGGAGUUACAUGCUGCCUAAGGUUCCCUGGACAGCUCAACUCUGACUUGCGCAAACUUGCCGUAAACUUGAUCCCCUUCCCGCGUCUUCACUUUUUCAUGGUGGGCUUUGCUCCUCUUACUUCAAGAGGUUCUCAGCAGUACAGAGCCCUGACUGUUCCAGAGCUCACCCAGCAAAUGUGGGAUUCCAAGAACAUGAUGUGUGCUGCUGAUCCACGACAUGGACGUUAUCUAACAGCAUCAGCAAUGUUCCGUGGUAAGAUGAGCACCAAGGAAGUUGAUGAUCAGAUGAUGAAUGUGCAGAACAAGAACUCUUCCUACUUUGUUGAGUGGAUACCCAACAAUGUGAAGUCAACAGUUUGUGACAUCCCACCAACUGGGCUGAAGAUGGCAUCAACUUUCAUCGGGAACUCGACAUCCAUCCAGGAGAUGUUCAGGAGGGUGAGUGAGCAAUUCACUGCCAUGUUUAGGAGGAAGGCCUUCUUGCAUUGGUACACAGGUGAAGGUAUGGACGAGAUGGAGUUCACUGAGGCUGAGAGCAACAUGAACGAUCUGGUUUCUGAGUACCAGCAGUAUCAAGAUGCAACAGCCGAUGAGGAGGAAUACGAGGAUGAGCAAGGGGAGUAUGAGGAGGAAAUGUAAUUUCUAUCAAGCAGUAGUUUCCUUUGAAUAUCAACUUUCCAGUUAGCGUUUUAUGUAGUAUGUGAAUGAAUUUCUGAUUGAGUGUUUGUGGGACAAGUUUCAAUAUCAACUUCCAGUUGCUGCUUUUGCUGUAACUUUGCUUAUUUCACCAUUAUGGAUUUGUGGUAGUGGUAUUUGCUUUCUAACAACUUUGGUCUUUACUCAUCUCUCUCCUUAGUAGUAUUUUUUGGUGUUUUUACAACUUCACUAUCGCCUACUCUCUAUAGUCGGAAGACCCAUCCUUUCUCUUUGUUUGUUAAAGUUUAAUGUAGCUUUCAUUUCUCUUUAUCUUAUCAAAGCAACGCCAACAUUAAAGCUACAAGAUCUUAGUUCUUUUCAGUUUCCAAAUACACUUUGGGAUUUACAUGUGAAAUUUUGGUAUUGUAGUUUUUAGAAUUGGAUGCAAGGAUACCAAAUGGGUCCUAAAGCUUUAAAAAUGAGAUAUUUAUUCAAAAAUUCAUUUUAGUAUGACAUAUUAUAAUAAAAAACCUCCUUCAAAAUUGCAUAUGCAAGAGAAAUUCUUCCAACGGCAAUACCCCCACUCAGACGAGAGAAACUUUAGAUAUUUUUCCCGAAUUUUCUUGUAGGAGGAACGACCUCAAACGUGCUUGCAAAGUAACUGACGUGUUAUCCUAGUCCAAAUAAGAAGAGGAGUCAAUUACUUAUCCAUUUUGGAUUUAUGUUUUAAUUAGGUUUUUUUUUAUUUUUGGGCUGCUGUAAAAAGCCAGCUACAGUAGGAAUAGAAGUGUCACUACUACAAAAAGUGAAAAAGACAACCAGAAAACGACCACGGUAGAUCAAAAAAUCAUCGUUGUGUUUGAAAAGACGAUGGUGAUAUAAAACCGCCUUGUAUGAGUAAUAUAAACAACUUAAAAAUGGAGAUUCCAAUGGGUGUUUUUAAAAAACGACGCAUCAAAUUAAAAAAGCAUCGUCUUAUUGGAAAGGUUUUCUUCAAAGUUAAACUCUGAGCCAAAAACCAACGGCAGAAGCUAUGAAACCACCGACGUAGAAAGUAAAGACGACGGUGUCCAAUAACAGCCGUCGUUUUUACUCCUUAAUAAACACAACCAUAUUUUCGUAGUGCAUUGAACCGUGACGUGGAGUAAUUUUUUUUCUUUUUUGGCGAAUUAAAAGUUUAGGAGGAGGGGAGGCUAUCCCAUCCCAAGCCAGGGCAUAUCAAGGCUUCUUUGAGGACUGUCAGCAAUGAGACUUGAACUUAGUCCUUGAUAGAAAAGAGAACGAUCCUUACCAACUCAACCAAGAGUUAUUUUACAUUAAAUUUCUUAUUGUAAUAGGAAUAUCGUAUACACUAGUUGCACUGCAUGUGCAAAUUUCCUUGAAUGUAAAGUGAGUGUUCUUUCAAAAAAAUAAUAAUAAUAAAGUAUCUCCGUGAGAAGCUAUUGACAAUUUUUAUUGAAAUCUAUAUAACUCAGGCUCACCCACACAAGUCAUAAUCAAUGACUAAAAUAUCGACGAAAUAUUGAGGAUAUUAUCAUUGUUUUAGGUCUAUGAUAUUUUGGAACAUAUCCAUACACAUAUUGUAUAAGUAUCGAUAAUAUCGAAAAAUAUCGAUAUUGAUAAUUUCUCUCACACUUCAGCAACAUUUGGCCAAAAUAUCACUAUAAUAUCGAUAAUAUAGAGAUGAUAAGGACAUGAUUUUUUUGAAGAGUUAUUUACACUAACACCUCCUUAGGUUUCUUGUGUUUUCACAAAACCCCCUCAUGUCUCAAAAAUUACACAAACACUCCCUGAGGUUUCAGUUUGUUUUCACAAAACAUAUAUUCGUUGAUUGUUUGUCCAAAAAUUGAUGAUUUCAUUGAAAAAAAAAUGAUGCAAAUGACAAAAUUAACAUCAAUGAAGUAUAUGCAAUAUAAUCUUAAAGGCUAACUUUGUCAUUUGGAGAAAUUUUUUUGUGUGUAUAAAAUCAUCAAUCUUUGGAUGAAAAAUCAAUGAAAAUGAAUUUUGUGAAAACAAUUUAAAGCCUCAGGGGGUGUUCUUCUAAUUUCUAAAACCUCGAGUUUUGCGAAAAAGCCGAAAACAUCAGGAGGUGUUAGUGUAAAUAACUCAAAUUUGAACAUUAUAGGAACUCUAUGUGAUACUAAGUCACUCAUAUAUCUUACCAUGCAAUGUAUAAAAUGUAAAAUACUGUAGUAAAUCAUUAUAAAUAAAUGAUUAUAGUGUGUUUAAUCUUCUUUCAUUAAUUACUACAUAUUUUCUACACUUGCAGUGUUUGUCAACUCAUUAUAUAAUCAACUUAAAUCAGUUAAACCUAUCAUGCAAUGUAUUUUCUUCCAAUAUUUUGUGAUAAAGUAAUAGAUAAUUGACAAAAUAAACAUCCUCCAAAGUUUCAAGAAAAAUUUCCAAGUUUUUCUUACAAUUUCCACGGUUUUUAUUCAACUUUUAUCAAUAUCGAUAAUAUCCCGAUAUUUUCAUAGAAAUUUCCAUAUUUUAGGAAUACCGAUGUAUCCAAAACCAUUGAUAUUUUAGACCUUGGUCAUAAUCACCAAUGCAAUUGUUUAUUUAUUUUUACAUAUUUGAGAAAAAGAAGAUAGAAAAUUGGGGUCAUAACCCAUUUAAGAAAAGUGACGGGGUCAUUCCAGAAUAUGACAAACCUCUCAAUUGAUUUUUCGCCUCCUCGCAAAACAAAGAGCAACCCAACUGAAGCCGUAGCAUUACAGAGAAAAUAAGUGAGAAGCGAACUUGAAAAUGGCGAGCAAUCUCGCAAACAGAGCAGUAACGGAUCGAACCAUAAAACUAUGGAGGCUCACAUCGAGCUUCCUCAGAAACUUCAGCACUGCUUCCGAAAGCCCUUCUGCUGCUGCUGCUUCUCCUUCUUCUUCGGCUUCGAAGAAACCCAAGCGCAAGAAGAAGAAGAACCUGUUUGAGGUGGCUCAGUUUUUGCCCAACUGGGGAUUAGGGUACCAAAUGGCUAAGACUCACUGGGUCGGCGUCUCUUACCAGAUCACCAAAAUCAAUCUUUACAAGGUCUCGCUUUUAAUUAUUGCUGGCUUUCAAAUUUUUCUUUAUUGUUGGUUUUUGCUCGUUUGGUUACUAAGAAAAUGUGGGACUAAUUGAAAAUUUGGGCUUUUGUGCCUCUAAGCUUUCUGCUUUUGCAUUUGAUUGCUCGUAAUUAGAUGUGAGAAUGUUCAUUCAAUCAAUUCGCCUUAUUAUUGUUAUGGGUUUAAUGGUUUAGGGUUUAUGCGUUUUUUUUAAAAUUUUUUUGGCAGGACGGUAGACAUGGCAAAGCAUGGGGCAUCGUUCAUAAGGAAGGUCAGUGAUGGAUUUUAUAUUUCAUGGAAGUGACUUUUUUUUUUUUUUUUUUUCUCAAUUGAAGUUUUUAUUUGUAUCUCUAGUACUUGCCUUUAUGACUAUAUAAAGGAUUAUGCCUUUUCUUUCUUUCGUUUGAAAGAAAAAUGUUACAAGGGUUUUAUCACUUACUUUUUAGCUGUGUCUGGCUAAAGAAGUGACUCAAGUAUAUCAUAGUUUACCAGUUGAACAUUUGUGCUUGCGAAGUAUUGAGGUUUACUGAAUUGGGCAUACUAAUCUGAUCAAUAUUUGUGUUCUGUUUGUGGUUGAUAUCAUCGAUUCAAUGCUAUGUAUCAUGUUUGCUCAAUCUGUAUACCUGGUUUUGGCUGCAUUCUGUUGUUCAAUAUCUGAUAACUCUUGUCUUUUUAACUUCAAUUGAAAAUAAAGUGUCCUGACUCCUAAAUGGUUGGGAAAUAAUGCAUCAUUUAGUUCAAAGAACUACCAAAGGAACUAGUUGGCAUUGUUACAUAGGAGAUUGAACAUGCACUUCCCUGGCCACAGCAUUUGUAUUUGUGACUGAACGUGCAUCCUGAUUUCAAUUAUAAAUGAGAAAUAUGUGCUUCGUUAGUGGCAUUGGCCCCCUCCACAUAUGCGAUUGCAUAAUCAAAUGUAAUGCAUGAGCACCUACAUGCAUAAAUAAGAGGUUCCUUUUUGUUAUAGAGACUUGAUUCAGUAUUUGUCUGUCAUUUAUGCUUAGGAAUGGCUAAUUCAUUAGAGUUCUGUUUUGACUUGUAGUUGUGAUAGUAAGAAUUGCUAAAAUAAUAUGUGGUCAUUUUUUCGGAUUAGGUUUAUCUAUUUUUAAGUUAUUCUCUUUUAUAUGGAAGUUGAUAUAGUAGAAUUUGUUGCAGGCUUGCCAGCUGCAGAUGCUCCCAAGAAAAUAAGUGGAGUCCACAAGCGUGGUUGGAGGUACAUUCCAAACUCAAAGUCGCCUGAAAGUGUUCCAAGUGUGACUAAACCUACAGAAAGUGCUCCAGCAGCUGAAGUUCAAGCAGCUUGAUGCGUUUCCUCCAUUUUUUGGGAAGAUGUAGUCUGAUCUGUCAUACUAGGAUGUUCUUUUUGAGUUAAUUGGUUGUGUCCUCCAUCGUUAUAACUUUUGGUUAGAUAUGGUAAAUUUUUUUUUCUUUCUUCAGUUUAGUAUAUUUGACGCUCCACUGUAACAUCCUUCCUUGUGCAUUGAAGCUAGAAUAAGCUUACGGCAAUGCGAAUUGGAAAUGUUUUUUCAGAAAGAAGGAUUGAGCACAUUCGUGUCUGUUUUUUAUUUAUCAAUAUUUUUAACGUCGGCUCUGGUGCCUGGUUCUGUUUCUUCCUAUGACAUGAAUGCUAUCGGGAUGGUGUCUGAUUAUCUUUUAGAACUUAAUUUUUUUUUUUUUCCAAGUUGCCAUAUUGAUCUUGAAUGAUGGAUGUAAGAGGAGGGGAAUGAUAUUUGCAUCUUUGCUACUAUGGCACUAUAAUUUGUUAUCAAUCGCAAUUGAUGAGAAAUUCUUACACGCAGGGUGUUGUUAUUAACCUUUUCUUUUACUUUGAAAAUGCUAUCAUUUCAUGCUCUCCGGAAAUCUUCUUUCUCAGGCCUGAAGCAGUGGUAAGGUGUUUGAUUCUACCUACUCUUUGCUAGUGCCUAUCUGCAAAGCAUGUAACAAGAUUUUGCUUGUGCGUCCCAAGCAAUGGCCAGUAUAAAAUUGGAUAAUCAAAGUACUGAUCAUGUCAUGCUAUCUUAGAAUGCUGGAAAUGUUAGCAUUCACGGGCUUGGAUCAAUGGACAUGAUCAGUGUGGUCUGAGGACGUUGCUGAUAUGGGUUUUAUAGGCUUUGCUUGUUUUGACUGGAAACUAUAAGCAUAUUUGAAUGGAAUAUACCCUAAAGAUACUUUUUUUUAAAGGUACAAGCGAUAGUCUAAUCUAGAUAGGGAGGUGGGGUUUCUCAUACAAACUACUAAGGUGCCAUGAGGGUUCGAACUUAAAAUCUCUAAUAUGCAAAUAAAUGCCCUUUUUCCACUGAACUACCGUGUCGGCAUACCCUAAAAGAUACAUAACCUUGCAACAUAACCUCUUCUGACAAAACAAAAAAGAAAAAAAGAAGAAAGAAAAAGGUAUCCUUUGGUUAGGGAUAAUGCUUCUGCUGUGUGUAUGGAAAGAAAAAGAAACUAGAAGAUGAUAUGUUGUGAUCGCAGUGCAUUUUAGCUAGUUCCAACCAAAUCUGUAUAUAUAUAGCUUGUGCCCACUUUUAACAUGGGUAGUGAUUUUUAUUCUUUUAUCAAGGGACAAAAACAAGGGGAGAAGUGUAGAAGGAGAAAAUGGAAGUGUGCCAUGUUAAAUUGGGCACAUCAAUAAGCUCUCUUUGGGAUAUAAACAGAUUUGGUUGGAAUCUGUAAAAGCUUAAACAGUGACCACCCUAUGGCUAUGAAUCUAUGAUGCAAAUUUCCAUGCCAAGCUAUCUAAAGCAAAUUUGUAAAUUUGGUAAGUGAAAAGUAUAGUCAGUAUAGAAUUACUUAUAAGCAAACAAUUCAUUUGACAUAACAAAAUAUCAGAAAGUUUUCUAUUAUAAAGUAAAAUACAAAUAACACUGCCUUAUUUUCAUAAACAAUGAAACCCAAUUAAAAUCAAAUUAAUAUAGAAAAAAAAAAAAAAAAAAAAAAGAAACAAAGGGGAAGAAAACCCCUACACCCUUGAUCUUUACUUGUGUCGCUUUCUCAAUCACUGUGUCUGUGAUGUGUGUCCCACAACUGGUAGGCAUAAAAUAUAUCUGUGUUGAGUGCAGUCUGCCCCACCAGCCUCCUCAUAAUUCGCCUUGGCUUGGCCCCGGGGCUCUCUCUAGUCUUCUCUUUCGUUUUCUUUUUCUUUCAUUUCAACAACAUUGCUCGAAACUGACACACAAACAAAGACAGUGAUCGAGGGAGACACAGAGAGAGGAGAGAGAAGAGAGAGAGAGAGAGACAUUGAUAUUUGAUAAAGAGAGAAAACAAACGCCACCUACUCCACAACCCCACCAUGUUUGCUGUUCCUAAACACACCCUUCAACCCCAAAGACCGCAACUUUAAUACUUUCCUCCACCAUUUCAUGACAUUUCUGUUUCUGGGUUUCUCAAAUGUCAGCUGCUGCUGAGGCUACCCAUUACCGCCAUUCAGUCAGCGGAGGCAGUGACGUGUCAGCCUCCGAUGACUCGGACGACCAGUCUUGGCACUCCAUGCUUGAGUCCACCGCAGGAGGAGGAGGAGGGCCUAAGUCUCAGCUUUCUGGGGUGUCUGUUUCAGGCAAUGUUCAGAGGGGCUCUUGUGACUCAAAUUGCUCUCUGGAGUUGGAUUUGGAGAGUGGGGUUUUGGAGUUGAAGGUGGUGCAUUUGAGUAAAGUUGAAAGAAAUUGCAGAAUUUGCCACCUGGGUUUGGAGGGUGGUGGCCCAGAUGGGAUCCCAAUUGACUUGGGUUGCUCUUGCAAGGGUGAUUUGGGUGCUGCUCAUAAGCAAUGUGCUGAGACUUGGUUCAAGAUCAAGGGCGAUACGUGAGUACAAACUUUUUCUCAUGUUAAAUUAGUAAGCUUGUGAGGAAUUCUGAAUUCAGUUCCUUAUUUUCUUUGGUUUUUGGUGUUUUUUUAGAAAUUUUAAACACCCGUUUGCUGGAUUCUGGAUGUUUCUCUUUUUUGGUUUGAGUGUUUAAUGUUCCUCCCAAAUGCACCUUAUGGAAUAAAUCGGCUUCUUUGUGUUGAAAUUUUACUUUUUAAGACCAAAAACAACGAAGUUGUCCUAUCCCCAUCCCCCCUCUGUUUUCACCGGUCUCUGCAUUGAAGUGCAAGCACAUGGAUGCAAAUAGUUUCUCUAGAGUCAAUCUCUCACUUUUAAUGUGGUUUUACUUCAAACUAUGAUCAUCCUGUAAGCAUCCUUAGUCUUGUUGAAUAAUACAACAGAUUAGCAUCUUGGCAGCACAUAGCUUCCUGCUUCUCUGAGGUCAGCUUUUUGAAAUGCAUACUAGCCAAGUAGCUUCUUUUAUUUCAUCUAAUAGUCACCUUUGUUUUUAUUGUUUUGCUUCUUAUUGGCAAGCUGAAUGAGACGGAUCACAUGUAGAAUAGAAGGCAUAUAUUAAAUAUAUAGAAGAAGAACAAAUCUUGUAGUCGCCACUUGAACAAUCCAUUGAAUCCUAAGUACAUGUAUCAUUAUUGGUUUAGAGUUUUUAUAUCACGUUUUCUGUAGCAUUAAUAGUAGUGGAGAGUGUGGGUCCAAUACAAGCUAAAGGAGUUGUCUAUAUGUGCAAGAAUUGAGUUCCAGUGGUCAAGCAUUCUUAGCAAAGAUGCGCUUGUAAAUUACUGCAGCACACAGAAUUUCUAUUCCUAUGUUUAGAAGUGGAUAUCUUGCCCCAUGCGUUUGGUUAUGUAUGCUGCUAAUUAAGAUCUAAAUGUUUAAAAAAAUCAUGCCUAUGGUUCAGUAAAAGAUUUAGCGUUUGUGUAAACAAAUUGGGAACUUUUUCCAUUACAAGUUGAGUUUCUUUAUGACAUAUAAGAGAUAAAUAUAUGUGGGUUUUCCUGUUUUCCUUUUUAUUUUAUAACUCCGAAGUUGAUAGUUCGGGGAAACAAAACUGAACAGACUGACAUAAUGUACUGUUGACAAACAAGAUGCAAUUUUUCUCUAGCGUGUGGAGUUAAUGGAUGCAAAUGAAACAUCCAAGUUUUAUGAGGAAACAUAAUUUACAUAAGCUGCAUCACAUGAUUUCACAAGAAAGUACUAUAGGUGGGUUGGUAAGGCAUGCUAAUUCUAUUCUGAUUUUAGUCAUCCUGGUAAACAAAUGGAACGGCAUAUUGAUGACGGGACGUUUUCCAUGGACAGAAAUAAAAGAUUCCUAGCCAGAUAUAUUUCAAUUACUUAAGCAUUCUCUUCUAUAUUCUUGAUAUAUGUGUUCUGUUGGUUAUAAAAUUGACUGUGGCCUGUGUUUGUGCACAAGCCCCAUAAUACAUUUUUCCUUAUCUUUGUUUGUCUGGGUGACAUGUUCUUUGCUGUCUGUGUAUUUUUCUUCUUCUUAAGAUUUGAUAUUUAUUGAACUGAAAAAUGGAUAAGAAGAAAGUAAUUGAAGCGGCCUUCUAUCCAAUAAUACUUGCUUUCCUACAUCUGGUCUUGUGUUCCCUCAAAGUUUCAUAUUUAAGAUGAUUGGAUAAAUUGCCAAUUCAAUCCCUGUACUAGGUAGCUUUUGGUCUGUGGUUAACAAACAUAGUUUUAUUUAUUUAUUUUGCAGAACCUGCGAGAUCUGUGGCUCCACUGCAUUCAACAUUGCCACUGAGCAGACAAAUGAGGCAAAUGGCACUACUACCACACUCCCAUCAGUACCAGCAGCACCCAUGAUCCUGGUGGAAACCAGAACCAUGUGGCAUGGCCGCCGCAUUAUGAAUUUCCUGCUUGCCUGCAUGAUCUUUGCCUUUGUAAUCUCAUGGCUUUUUCACUUCAAAGUGCUUUAAUGAACACAAGCAGGGAAAAGAAAAGGUCUUUUCUAUAAAUGUGUGGCGGCGGUAAGUUGCAGUUCCAAAUCUUAUCGUGCUUGUACUGCUACUUGUCUGUGCCCGGUCCUACUUGGCUCUACAUUCUUGUUUGAGGCUUAGUUCCAAACUUGUACGCUCUCGGUCAUCUGUAAUAUAAAAGGUGCAACCUGGCUAUCUAUAAAAAGUUAUAUUAUUUUUGGAUAGUAAGAUCCUGUUUUCCAUCUGUAAUCUCCAUUGUGAGCUCAGGGAAUAUUGUCUGGCAAAUAUUUUGUGAAUGUAAGUCAUAUCUGUUUAGGUACGGACUCAUCUGUACGGAAAAAUUCCACGGAGAUGCUCAUAAUGCCCUAGUACCAUUAAGUCAUGACGCCUGCGAAUGAAAGGCUUUUAUCUCAGAUGGCUUCUUCAUUCAUUGAAAAGGUUAAUUACAGUGUCUAGUUUCUUAAUGAUCCUUGUAAUACGCGCGUUACCAGCAUGAAUGCAUCGAUUCAAAAUUUUCGGUUCAUUCAAAUGCUAUGGCUACCUUCAACUGUUUGAGAUUGAUUAUUUCAUGUUUGGAGCAUUAUAUGUUUCACCUUGUGUUUAUCAUUUCUGCACAAGUCCUUGUUCAUGCAUUUUUGAAUUCAUCUUUUGUUGGAUUAUAUAUAAAUUUUCAUUAAAAGACGAGGUUAGAGAAGAUCAAAAUAUCACUUUAGUUAGAUGGAUUAAUCUUCAAGGCUGUUCCACAAACUGUUAUUCCUAACAAAAUGACAAGGAACACUAGAAAGUCUUUCUCUGGAGUGCAAUUGAAGCAGACUUUUUGGGUAGGUAACUACUUGACCUUAGACUUUUGGUGUAGGCAUCCCAAUUUUUGUUUUUCUAACUUUUGAUAUUUCUUUCACAGCAAACUUUCAUGCUCUCCACUCUCUGCAUCAUCCCCCUCUCUUUUUUGUUACACGGAGGGCCGAAAGAAAUUCAUAGAAAAUUCCAAUGCUGGAACCAAUUGAAGGAAUUAAAAGCAAAAUUUGUUUAUACUCUAAACUAGAAAUAUGCAAAACAUAACUAAUACUUGACUUUACAAGUAAUUAUAUCCCUAAAUUAGACAUAUGCAAAAUUUAAUUUCUUUUUUCAUACAAGUGACAUUGAAGAAUGUGAGAAGCAAACAUGGAAUAUGAAAGUAAAAAUCAAGCAUUCAAGUAUGAUUAGGAAAAUUAAUCUCUCUCCAUAGCAACGUGACAUUUGAUAAUUAUCUUGACGUUUGUGAAAAGGUAAUCUUACUUUAACAAAAAAUUAAAAAAGGCUGCUUUUCUUUUUGUAAAGUUAUAAAAAAUUUAUCCGGUCCUGCCCAUCUUAGGGCCUUUGUGAAAUUAUCCACUACUUCAGUACCAAAGAUAAAAAGAGUGGGGCAGUAAUCCACUGCUUUUCGGGCUUACACAACAUAACUGGUUUGCGCUCCCGUCCAUCUCAUAUACACCCCAGAUUCGCUCCUAAAACCCUAAAUCGUGCAUAUACCUCGGUAAGAUUUUCAUUUUUCCUGCUUCGCCUACAAAUCGGAUUCUUCAAAAUCCUCCACUUCUAGAGCUACCAAUCAACCAACUUUGAAUUCCAUCUCACUGAGUAAGACUGCUGAAAUCCUCUCCGCUAAAUUUUUCCAUUUUGGUUUUGGUUUUGAAGGAAUCUGUGUUAAGUUAUUUGGGGUUUUUAGGGUCCAAUGGCUGCUGCUCCUAACAAUGCGCCGACGGCUGUGGACAAGGAACAGGUAGGCACCCUUUGCUUCGUUGCCUUUUAGUUUCUACCUAUUGGACAGUGUCAAGCAAUUGAAUUAUUUAUUGAAAUUUUAUGUGUGCCAAAGAUCGGAUUUUGGGGCAAGUUUUGGGAUUUCAUGGAUCAGAUGCUAAAUGGGUAUUUAGAACUUGCGUCUUCUGUAAACUUGGGUGUAACCAAAUUUGGUCAUGUUCUGUAAAUGGUCAAUGAUGGCGGGUUUAGCCUUAGUGAAACCAAGGCAUUUCCUGGGAGUUAGGAAGCAACGAUGUUGUUCAUUUUUAUGGAUUAACAAUCUUUUUCUUAUGAACUAUUGUCCUAAAAGUGGUAAGAGUGGUCCUUUUGAAAUAAUCUUGACGUUUUGGAAUGACUUGAAGUUUGUUUUUCACAAAUUUUGCAGAUUUUUGGUAUGGCAGAGAAGGAGAUGGAGUACAGGGUUGAGUUGUUUAACAAGUAAGUUCUCUGCGUGGUGUUGUUAGAUGUCACGGUAUACCAAUGUGGUUUUUUAAGGAAUGUGGGGUUUGUGCAAGGCUUAUUAUCUGAAUUCUUCAAACUCAGCUUCUGUAGUUAGAGCAAUUCUUUGCGCUUGCCUGCUUCAAUUCUAUUCUCGUACUUCGUGAGCAUAUACGGUGGUGCACAAAAGAAAAAAAAGAGCUUAUGAUUGAUACUUCCAAAGCUGCCUGACUUGUUAGUGUUGUUGUGUAAUUCUGUGAGCAUUAUAGUACCCUUGUGUUAUACACUUAGCUAAGCACAUCUAUUUAGGUUGUGAAUGUAAAUUUGGUAUAUGCAAUUUUCCAUCUCUAAUACUUCAGCUGUUGUGGUUAUCCAGUUUUCAUUAAUGAUUUUGAUUUUUUUUUCAUAUUCAGGCUUACCCACACGUGUUUCAACAAGUGCGUUGAGAAGAAGUAUGAGAACUCUUUUCUUUUCUCUUUUUAUAUUUUAUGCACCUGUAUCAAAGAUGUGUGGCAUUUUACUUUUAGGUCAUUUCAUUGUUAAUACUGAAGUUAGUGAAUGUGAAUUUGUCAAAUCAUCCAGGUACAAGGAGGCUGAGUUAAAUAUGGGUGAAAACAGUUGCAUUGAUCGCUGUGUCUCAAAAUACUGGCAUGUAAGUUAUCAAUCUGUUUUCUUAUGAAUUUGGUGCUGUGGUUUCCUUGUUCUUUCAGUCAUUUAAUUUCUUACGUCUAUUUUAAUGUCUUAUCUAUUGUCAGUGAAGUUCUCUAAAUAAUUUCUUUGGUCAAAUUUUAAAACUACUGGGAUAGCAGUUUUCUUUUACAGUAAUUUAUUGUGUAAAUUAAGUAGUGCCCUUUAUCAAGUGUUGCUUUUGAUUGAAUAAAAAGUAAUAAAUCUUGCAUAUAUUACUUCAUAAACAAUUUUGCUACUGCUCUGAAACUAUAAUUGUGCAAAUGGUGUUUUUUUAUAUAUAUUUUAGAAAUGGUGGUUUUAUUAUAUAAAUAUUUUAAUGUGCAUAUAUUUGAAUUUUUUGUUGUUUGCAGGUAACUAAUCUAGUUGGACAGCUGCUUGGUGCCGGUCGGCCUCCAAUGUAAAACUUAUGCCUCGUCUGAUUUGGGACUUUCAGUGCUUGACUGGGUGGGGUGAUGUGGAGAUUGUAAUUGUUCACAUUGUUAUGCCUUUUUGUUUUUGACAAAUUGUCAUAAGCUGGUUCCAUUUUGUAGUCUAAGAUAUAAAUAGGGACAGUUUUUAACAUAUGCCGCACUAGGUUCAAGUCCAUAAUAGGAUUGGGCAUCCAUAAUGAGGAUUUUUUUUAAAAUUUUCUGUUGAAUAACUGCCAUUGGUUUUAAUGGUUCGGUUACACCAUAAAAUGUUAGGGUACUUCUACCUUUUCAGCGGCAUUGUGAACCGAAAGGAGUGAUAAGGGUUUUUCUGGUUUAUUAAUAUACAUGCAGCAUUGCUUGAGUUCACUUCCUCCCUUCUCUUAAUGAAUGAUGUACUGGUGCCAAGUUAUGUUUGUCCCUGCUAUUCGUUCCGACGAUUUCAUAUGCACGAUAGAGUCAAUCAAAUUAUACUUGGUAUAGCCGUUCCUAAGUGCGUUUUACAUUAAGACGGACGAAAGAAAAUCUAAUCAUGGCAGCCUGAACAUAGCCCAGGACACAAACAAGUAAUUUGACUUCUAUCGAACAUAAGAAAAUCUAACAAAAACGCGCGUUAGAUAUGUUUCAAACUAUUAUGCAUUCAUGUUUGUAAUGGUUACAGUCGCUGUCAUUGGCAUUGAUCUAUGGGUCAAAUCUCCUAACUUGGGCCAACAUGGUAACAAUUGCUAUCAAAUAUACCUGUUAACGCCUUGAGGAAGCUCAGUGGGGUGAUGACACUGAUGAGCAGAGGAGAGAAUUUUAGGAAGAGGAUGAGAAGAAAACGAUUUGGGGGUGAUGUUAAUCCUGUGCUUCCUAUUUUGGUUCCCAAUCUCUUGUUGCUUUCUCAUCUGUUUUGGAACCCAUUUCCUUAAAUUAAAAGUGGUUCCUGUUCUUAUCCUACUGUUCUUGUAUCUGGGUCUUUGAGAAAUCUAUGUUUUUAAAAAAAUAUAUAGCUAUUUAAAUAUUCGAAUACAUUUAAAAGGCACAACUGGCUAUACUUUUUUUUUUUUUUUUGGGGUCAAGUACUGGCUAUACUUUUUAAACAGUAUAGCCCUAAAUCUCUUUUCCUCUCACGCCUUAUUCUCUUCUUCCUUUGAAAAAAUAAGAAAUUGAAAAAAAAUUGCAUCCUUUGCCCAUUCCUGGUUUGGAGUGGUCUUAUAGCAUAGAAGUCCUAAGUACCCUAUUCCUGGCAAUUUAAGCACCCUUUUUUUAUAUUCAUUUUUCUUUAUCAUGCUUUCCCAAUGCAUUAAUUCUCUGUAUCUUCAUAUGAGGUUGUAGUUUGAAGGAUAUCUGAUGCACGUUUUUGUUAGAUUUUCUUAUGUUCCUAAUGGCCCUAAAUCUGUCGCUGUGUUUCCUUCAAUCGAAGACUAGUUACGAAAUGAACUAUCCCAUCGAACCACUCAUCUACUACAUUUUCAAUAUGUUUGUUGAUGUUGAUGUCAAGCAGCAGCAGUGGUUUAUUAGUUGAGCUGAAACUCAAACCUAAAGGUGUUUAUUUUGUUACAACAUUCUUAAGAUUUUAUUACACUUUCAUAUUUUAUGUUUUCUUGACUUCCAAGGAUGAGCCAUCUUUUAGGGUUUGCUCAGCUUCAUUGGUCAAUCCUAGGCUCUUCAGGGCAGCUGCUUGGAGAUAUAAGGCAGUUGGCCAUUCAGGGUGUUGUACAAGAGCCUGCAUAGCAUCUCCAAGAGCUUCUCGUGCCAUAUCACUCAUCAAGUAACACAAGCACCGUCUAGCAAACAACGUUACUGAUUCAAUGCUCCCAUGAUCAAUGAACUGCAACGAGAAGGAAGAAAGGAAAUCCGGCUUGGAGUAAGAUGAUAAGCAUAUGAAAUCACGUAAAGGUUAUGGAAACUCGUAACAGAAUACUUCAAUUCUUGUAACCCUGACACUAAUCAUAUAGUCUAAUAUGAUUCUAUAACUAGAUGAGGGAGCAAAUUACAUCGUGUAAGUGGCGAUUUUGAUGACACAACGAUGACGAACAAAUUUCGUAGUUCUAAAUUAGUGAGUUCUUUUGACCCAAAAAAAAUAGUGAGUACUGACUUACUUCUGUGUAAAAUUCUAUGGCACUAGCAAAUUCUUUUGCUCGAAAUGCAGCAUCCCCCUGUUUCUUAAAGUUCAAUCUUUCGUUCAUUUGGUCUGUCCACAUUUGGAAAGAAAGCUGCAAGGUAACUCCAAAGUAAGGGCAGUGCAUUAAACAAAUUCAACACAAAAAGUUCUCAUAAACUUAAAAGAAUAAAAUUUGCUAGGAAACAGAGAAAACAAGUUUGUUUUUUUUCUCCCUUGGUAGAUGUCACAAAAUAUACAACACGGAAAAAUCAGAAAUGAGGAUCACUAACUUCAGUUUGAGCCUCCUCAUCCUCCUUGUAUCCAAUCAUCAGCAAUAUUUCAUGUAUUCUAGCAAGAUCUAAUUUCGAGCAAGCUUCACGUAGAGGUGACAACACUGUCUUCUUUGAAGGAAUAUUUCCAUGUGGAAAACCCAUCAAAACGUAUGAUGGAACCUGCUACGAACCACUAGGUGAGAUGAAUAAUACCUUCAUGGCUUUCUAUUGCAGAAGUAAUGCAAAUCAAAUUUCGAAACCAUAAAUCAAUUUUUGGUUACGAUGGAAGAGAAUUGAACCAUUGACGUAGCUUAAUUGUAACCAAUUUCCAGCUUAGCCUAAAACAAAUCAAAUUUCAAAGCAUAUAACAAAUAAAGUUGGGCAUACCUCAGUUUGUUCUUGAAGAGGAAAAAGUGCAGAAACAAUGUACUUGAAAUCUGGCCAGUUAUGAGGUUCAUACUGCAAACAUUGUGAAGCUAACCGCACCAUCUCAUUACCGUCAUCAUUUCAGAAAUGACCUUCCAAGCAUGAGUCCAUAGCAUCAAAAAAUUCUUGUCGCUUAUGAGGUCAAGCGCCUUGUAGAAAGAAAAUUAAACCUUACUUAGCUAGAAGCUUAACCAGAAGCCAUAAUUGGCAACCAAUUACUUAAUCAGGAAAUGAUGAGAAUGAGACACAAUCAGAUAGCCUUAACUUAGAGCACAUUUAUAAACACAAGUUACAUAAGAUGUCAAGCAAAAUAUCAGGGCAACAAUGCAUUUCAAUUGAACAUGCAAAGGGAAAGUUACAUGGCUUGGAGGGAUAUGUCUGUCACUGAGCAGAUUGAGCAACAGGGUCCCAAAGCUGUAAACCAAACUUUCUGGUAUCACUCUUCCUGCACGCCAAACAGAAAUAUGUACAAUUAGCUCAACUAUAUACUAUCGAUCGUGUAGAUCAACAUGUCGAAAGCUCAUGCAUGACAAGUAUAAGAUUGAAUUAGAAAACUGUUUUUCCAUUUGCUGAAGCAGUGAUGAUAUGAGUUACCUGUCCUCAAGAACUCUGCAGGGGUGAAAGCCAAGUUGGUAAACCUCUUGCCAUCUUUACUAUUCUUCAUAAGGCCAAAGCAAGAGAGUCUGGGAUUUCCAUCCUGUCAAUCAAGUGCUGGCUCAAUGUAAGGUCCAAGAAAAGAUUAACAAAUUUUGUUGAAAUGGAAAGGGUAUAAAGAGUCCAAUUAAUUACCUGAUCAAACAGGACCCUAUGAGCAUUGAGAUCAUGGUACAAUGCCUGCCCUUUGCUGCUGCAAUACUCUAAAGCGUGUGCCACAUACAAAGCCACUCUCAAUCUCAUUGCCCAUUUCAUCGGUUGAGUCUCCCCUACACCAAUUUGUACCAAUUUCAACCUAUAAUUACUUCAAUAUCAAUACCAACAGAAAAACAAAAUAAUAUAAUCUUCUGUUGAUCUUUUCCUCAAACUUAACAAACCAGAGGGUUGUCAAAUCCCAUUUUCAUCAAACACAUACCAUCACACCACUCACACAGAAAUAAGACAAAGCAAAAUAAGUUUAGUUGAAGAUUUGGGGGGAACUUACACUGGAAAAGGUGCUUGGAGAGAGUUUCAUUUGGCAUGAACUCAGCCACAAGCAAUCUCUCAUCAUCCUCAAUGCAACACCCAAUCAAAUUCGCCAAACGCUCGUUGCUUAGCCUCCCCACAGCUCUAGCUUCCUCCUAUAAGAGAGAUAACCAAACCCACCACAUAUAGAUUUGUUUAUUAAAAAGAAAAUGAAGAAGUAAAUUUAGCCAACUGUCAAUCCACGCACAAGAAAUGGGCGGGAAUCCGGCCAAGCGGAGAGGGUGAAGCGCUUAACGGCGAUCAAACUGCCGUCUUCCAGCUUCCUUCUGUAGACCACAUUGGGAGCUUUCUCUACAUGCUCAGAGACAACAUUAUGGGACGAGAAUCCUGAUGUGGCAGCUCCUAGUUGGUCCAAGCUGAACACAGACAGCGAGUUCUUUUCGUUUUUGUUCCCGGCCUCUGCAUUUCUGAAAAGAAAAAAGUACGCAAAACUUUCUCAGGAAAGUAAGGGAAAACAACAUUCAAACGAACAAAAACAACAAUACAAAAAAAUGGAAAAUCUCACCUAUGUCCGAGAAUUCAUUGAUAUUAUUGGACGGGCGGAAGCAAAGACAGAAUCUGUUUCCCAUUAAUAGUAUCUGAUAAACCAAGUCAGAGAGAAAGUCAGAGAGAGAGAGAGAGAGAGCUUGAAACCUAGCUAAAUUGCGUGCAUGAAUGUUUGUGUCUAAAAAGUUGAGUUGUGCUUCUAGAGUUUAGUUUUGUACCACUUUCCUGGGUAGUUCUAGGAGACUUCAGGAGGGGAAAUUCAUGGUCACCAUUACUUUAAAAAGAUAUGAGAAGUCAUACAUCAAAUUAUAUGCAUGAAAUAAUGAAAUUGGAGCGGGGACAAUUAGACACGGAAGGAUCAUAUAUAUGGCCUUCUUCACCAUCCAGCGGGGUCAAGACUCUCAAAGUCAACCAGGGAAGUUUCCAUUGUAUUACCAUCAAAUUUUCAGUUUUUUAUUUCCUUCUUAUUCCCCAUGAGCCAUCUUCUUCCAAGGGAAUGUCAAAUGAUAAAGAAAGCAUGUUGAUGCACCAUAAUCCAAUAAAUUGAUGAUCCGAAGGACAUUUUACAUGAUACAAACUCAAAAAUCUAAAUCAAAUAAAACACAGCAGAGCAAACAAACAAUAAUUUUUUACUUGUAUAGAUCAAAAUAAUUAAAAAGAUACACCAAGACCAACAUAAAGAUUGUUACAAUUAAUCCUGCUGUUGCCGCAGAGCAGAACUAAAAUGUCAAAGUGGGAAGAUGGAAAAAGCUAGAUACAAUUGUAAAUGAAAGGAGGGAAAAACACCUAUACAGUUUCAGCUUUUUUUUUUUUUGACUUCCAACGACGCUCCAUCAUUUAGAGUUUCCUGCGCAUCAUUGUCCAUCCCUAGGCUCUUUAGGGCAGCUGCUUGAAGAUAGAAGGCAGUUGGCCAUUCAGGGUUUAUUACUAGGGCUUGCAUAGCAUCUCCAAGAGCUUCUUGUGCCAUCAUCAAGUAACAUAAGCAUAGCAAACACAGUUGGCGAUAUCAUCGUCCCGCCAGCAAUGAACUGCAAUGAAGAGCAACAAGAUACACCGAGGAGUAAGAUGAAAAGUGUAUGCAAUUCUACUCUCUAUCUGUCAUAUGCAUAGUAGUAGGCUUUGUAAAGCUAAUAUUUCCUAAGGAAUUAUAAUUUCUAUUCAUGCGAGGUUAUCUGAUUAUACAAAGUCAUAGAUUUCUAUGUUCAAGAAGACAGAAAGUUCAAAUUCUUGUAACCCCGCUACUAAUAACUUUGUCUAACUUAAGUCCAGAUGAAUAUGUAUCUGGAUUUUGAUGAAAGAACUUGUGACAUGCAAACUUUGUAUUUCUAAAUUUGUGACUUACUCUGUGUAAGAAUCUAUCGCGGUAGCAAAAUCCUUAGCUUGAAAUGCAGCAUCCCCAUGCUUCUUAGAAUUCAAUGUCUCUUGUAUUAGAAAAUUCCAACAUAUAAACUUCGUUUGGCAUCAAUCCAUAUAAGGCCUGUUUUAACUUGCCCAACGUCUGUUUGUCCAGCAAUAAUGUAACCAUGAGGCAUACUCAUAUACAUUUCUUCACAUAAAUCACCAUUAAAAAAACAUUCUUCACAUCAUACUACUACAGGGGCCAAUCUAAAUUUGCAGCCAAAGACACUAGACGCGUAUAUUAUUGAUUUUUGUGACAGGUGCAAUAGUCUCCUCAUAAUAAAUACCAUACUUCAGAGUAUAUCCCUUUUUUUUACCUGUCAAUUGUACCAUUUGGCUUGUGUUUCACAGUGUGUACCUAUCGGCACCCUACUGGUUUUUUUCCUUCUGGCAACGACACUAAAUCCCAUGUCUAAUUUUUUUUUCAAGCGUUUUCAUUUCUUCAGUCAUUGCAUCAGCGCACUUAGAAUCUAACAAAGCCUCCUGCACCUUUGUGGGAAUAUAUAUUGCUGACAUCUGACUCACAAAGGCUUGACUAGCAGGUGAUAACCUGUGAGCUGAUAUAUAGUUCACAAUAGGGUAUGUCACCAUCUUAAACGUAUCAGGUGAAUAUCUGUCUAGAGGCUUCCCACGGGUACUCCUUGGUGGUAGCUGGAACUUGUCACUGUCACUUGGCACAAUAGGCAUAUCAACAUGAGUAUUAAUAAUCUGUUUUUCUAUUCUUACCUUAGACGUGUCAGCAGAAGAGAUUUCUUGGUCAUGUAUAGUAGGAGUAGAAGGGGGGAAGAAUAGACUACAUCACCACUUGCUGGCUCAGGGUGCAGCAUCUCAGACAGUGUCACAGGCGCAGGAUCUUCCAGUGCUGGAUGAUUCGAUUCAGUCGGAGUACUGCUUGUAGAGACUCUCCCUGUGUGUGAUUCUAGGUCUACUGAAUCAGGGAAUAAAACCAUCCAAUUCAACUCUUCGACACCGAGAAUCUCCCAAUGAAGAGAGGAGUUAGAGAUAAGAGUAGCAAAGUACAUCUCUUGUUCAGAGAAAGAAACAUUCAUGAGACAUAAGACUGGUGGGAAGGUGGAUGAUAGCACCGAUAGCCUUUCUGGUGAGGAGAAUAGCCAAGAAAUACACUUCAAAACAUAAGGAUCCAACUUAGUACAAUGGGGCUUAGGAAGAUGAACAAACACAGUGCAGCCAAACACGCGUGGUGCUAGAGUCAAAGUAGAAGGAAGGGUAACAUAGCCAGAAAGCUUCUCCUAAUGUGUUUUAAACUACAACACACUAGUAGGAACCCGAUUAAGGAGAUAAAUGCUAGAUGUGAUAACAUUUUCCCAAUAGAGGGGCCUCAUAUGAGUACCAAUGAGGCUAGCACAUGUGAUUCACAGAAUCUGUCGAUUCUUCCAUUUUGCAACACCAUUUUGAUGUGGGAUGUGCGGACACGUUGUCUCAUGCACAAUACCAUGAUCCUGAAAAUAAGCCUAUAACAACUGAUUGACAUAUUCCCCUUCAUUAUCAAAACGUACAACUUUCAAAGUAGCAGAAAAUUGAGUCUGAAUCAUUUUAUGAAACACACGGAAACUAUCAUAAACAUCACUUUUGUGUUUCAUUAAAUACAACCAAGUCAUCGGAAUGCAAUCAUCCACAAAAAUGACAGACCAUCAAUAGCUCGAAUGAGUAGAUACAGGCGCAGGGCCCCAAACAUCAAUAUGCACCAACAUAAAUGGAACAUAAGUGUUAUUGGCACUCAAAGGAUAAGCAACACGAUGAGUUUUAGCUAAAAUACAAGUAUCACACUUUAAAUCAGAAGUCUGAUAACCAGAAAAUAGCUAUAGAAAUAAAUGUUUCAAAUAUCUGAAAAAAGAAUGCCCUAGGCGGUGAUGCCAUAACCAAAUCUAAUUCUCCUUUAUUGCGAGCAGAACCCUUGACAGAUAAAACCUUCCAGGUGCAAACAUCAUCCACAUAGUAGAGUCCCCAUUCUUAGUACUACGACCAAUAAUCUCUCAGCUGCCGAUAUCCUGAACAAGACAAAAAAAGGGAUAUAUUAAUACAAGACAAUUUAACUGCUCAGUCAUUUGAGGGACAUAAAGUAGAUGAUUGGACAGUGUAAGAACUAAUAAAGUAUGCUCCAAAGAUAAAGGAGUCAACUCAACAGUGCCAGAGCUAGUAACAGGGUAGGCAACACCAUUGGCAUUAGUCACACUCGAAUAGUGGGGAGUAGUAUGACUCCGUAAAAGAGAAGGAUCAUAUGUCAUGUGAUCUGUGGCACCCGAAUCAAUAAUCCAUCCGGGGUCAGGCUGAGAAUCAAUAGCAAGUAAGGUUUAUUACUUGGGUUCUGGAUAAGAGCAGGAUCAACCACUGACGUAAUACAAGGAGAAUAAGAAGUAGCAGACUGAGGAGAGAUGAGAGUUAAGGACGGCAUGGGUAGCAUGUAAGAUCCCACAUCAACCAACGGAGAGGGGGUGAUGUGCUUUAUAUGUGCACACCCGCAUCCAUCUAGCACGAGGCCUUUUGGGAGCUCACUGGCUUCGGAGUCUUAAAAACUCCGAAGUUAAGCGAGUUGGGGGCCAGAGCAAUCCCAGGAUGGGUGACCCACUGGGAAGUUGGUCGUGAGCUCCCAGAAACAAAACCGUGAGGGCCAGAGAGAGGGGGCCCAAAGCGGACAAUAUCGUGCUACGGCGGAGUUGAUCCUGGGAUGUGACAAUUUGGUAUCAGAGCCACUCUGCCGUGUGGUGCGAGUGUGCCGACGUGGACGUCGGGCCCUUAAGGGGGGUGGAUUGUAAGAUCCCACAUCAACCAACGGAGAGAGGGUGAUGUGCCUUAUAUGUGCACACCCGCAUCCAUCUAGCACAAGGCAUUUUAGGAGCUCACUUGCUUUGGAGUCGUAGGAACUCCGAAAUUAAGCGAGUUGGGGGCCAGAGCAAUCCCAGGAUGGGUGACCCACUGGGAAGUUGGUCGUGAGCUCCCAGAAACAAAACCGUGAGGGCCAGAGAGGGGGGGCCCAAAGCGGAUAAUAUCGUGCUACGGCGGAGUUGAUCCCGGGAUGUGACAAUAGCACCACUCAUAUCAGCCGCCGGCGGUGGUGGGGCGACAUACCCAGUCACCAUGGUGGCCUUGUUAUCCCUCCUUGAGGGGCGCUCUUGAGCUGGGGCGACAUACCCAGUCACCAUGGUGGCCUUGUUAUCCCUCCUUGAGGGGCGCUCUUGAGCAUCACGUGUUUUCUUCUCUUGAAAAGCUUAUGUUAGUUUUAAGAUUGUUAGAAUUGGCUUUCCUUGCCAAAUGUACACUUUCAUGUAAUUCCUCUUAGCUCAUCUUUAGAAUUUGCAUCAAUAGGAAAAUCAGCAGUUGCAUCCAUAUACUUUGUCGAGAUGAGUAGUCAUAUAGGCCAAAUCAGCAUUUGCUACCUUGUCGAGAUGACUAGUCACAUAAGUUUGUCGAGAUGACUAGUCAUAUGGGCCAAUAUUUCCAGCACGGGAUUUUUAACCAAGGCACAUGAUUUUGCUUAUUGUAAGUCCAAUCAUUGGCUACCAAGUGUACUUCUGACCUACCAAAAAGGUUGGGGUUGGUCUCGACUCACCAUCUCUCUGAUUUACAAUUUUUGAUAUAAUUUUUAUAGAGAGAGAGAGAGAGAGAAAGAGAGAGAGAGAGAGAGAGAGAGAGAGAGAGAGAGAGAGAGAGAGAGAGAGAGAGGGAGCUCUAGUGAGAGACUAGGUAUGGGUUUUAAUUUUUAAGAGGCAUUUUUUUGUCUCUGUCAUUUUCAGAGAGAAAGGUUUUGAGAGUUUUGAUUUUGCUCUGCAUCUUCUCUCUGAGAAUGAGGUCUGCAUCUUUGAGAGAGAGAGAGAGAGAGAGUGGUCUUCUUCUUCUUCUUCUCUAUUUGCAGCUGGGUAUGGUUUGAGUUUUCAAAUAAGGUUUUCAAAUAGCUUUUGAAAUAUGCUUUUAUUUUCGAAAUCUACUUCACUCAUUGAGAAAUUUUGAGAGUAAAACUUAUACUCUGCAUUCUCUAAGGUUUUUCAUUGUGAGAUUUUGAAAAUGUUUUUUAAAAUCUGCUAUGCUUUUUAUAAUCUGCAUCUGGCUUCAGUUAUGACUAGUCAUCUUAUUUGUCUGCAUCUGGGUUUAUUAUGACUAGUCAUCGUUCCUAGUCUAGAUCAGAUUCUUGGUUGAUUUCUUCAAGAGUACGGUUUUUUGAAGAAAUUGACCUUUUCAUCUCAUAAUCUAUAUUUCAUUAUGUUUGUUCGAUCUGGAGCUGAGUCGCUGGUGCUAUGGAGUGAAGGAGCUGAUGGACUAGCUGCCACUUACAUGACGGAUGAUGACCCCCAGUUUUUCCCAGUUGUGGGUUUAUGGGUGAACAAUUUUCUGGUUUUGUUAUUCACAAUUUUCUGGGUUUGUGUUCUUGAUAGUUGACUAGUCAUUGCAUGAUGUUCAUGUAUUUCUGGGUUUGUGUUCUUGCGGUUGAUUAGUCAUCAUUAUUUGUUGUUUGUUGUUUACUUGAUUAUGAUGCUUUCACACACCUUCACCAUAGUUGUUGCUAGCACAGGGGAUGCCUAGAUUGAUGAGUCCUUCUGAGUGCCUAGGUUGUCACUAGUAAUCUUCUAGGCUUACAGGUACAAAUUGGUAUGCUUUGUGUAUGUGUGUUCUUUGGUCAAGUUUUAAAGUGUGUGAAUAUUGCUGUCUAUUUGAAUAGCAUUUAAAUUUAUCCCUCGUCACCUAAGUACCAAUUUCAGCUUCCCACCAAUCAGGAUAACCAUUCUUCUUCUCCUGGAAACUUGUUCCACAAUAGGUUUUGAACUGUGACAGUAAGUGCAACCAUCAUCGAUAGAAGGGCGAGUGACAAAACUUGGCUUUAAGGGUAUCCUAUUCUGGGUUAAAGUAAACGACCGAGUGGUAGCAGCCGUCAUAGCCAUGCUAGCACUAGAGCCAAGACUAAGCAUAGUGUGUCUGCGUUGCUCCUCACAGUGAACAAUUGCAAAAUCGGAUUCUAGAUUGGGGAAUGGCAUGGUUCGAAGGAUUUCACUGCGAAUGCUAUCAUAGAUUUAAUGAAGCCUAUCCAAAAACAUGUAGACACACUCCUCUGCAAUCUCAUGUUGUUUGGCAAGAAUCACAUCUGCUUGAGUAAAAGUAAUAGGCUUCCUAUAAUCCAACUCUUGCUAGAGAGCACUUAGAUUAGCAUAAUAGGCAGCAAGCGAUCGUCCUUUGUCUCAUCUACAUAGCCUUUCGAGACAAGUCAUGCACAAGAUAUAUAUCGACACCCUUAGCAGUAGGCAGAUGGAUAAAUAAAUUCAUCACAUCAGGUUCCAUGGCAGAAAUCAACCAUCCUUUAACAAUUGCAUUAUCCAUCACCCACUUGUCAUAAUUGGAGUCUCCACGUGCAAGUUGUCACAUCCCGGGAUCGGCUCCGCCGUAACACGAUAUUGUCCGCUUUGGGCCCUCCCUCUCUGGUCCUCACGGUUUUGUUUCUGAGAGCUCACGAGCAACUUCCCAGUGGGUCACCCAUCUUGGGAUUGCUCUAGCCCCCAACUUGCUUAACUUCGGAGUUCUUACGACUCCGAAGUCAGCGAGCUCCCAAAAGGCCUCGUGCUAGAUGGAUGCGGGUGUGCACAUAUAAGGCACAUCACCCCCUCUCCGUUGGUUGAUGUGGGAUCUUACACAAGUUGUUUAGUAUUCCCUGUCAGAUAACCAUAUUUUCCAUGGCCAGCAACAAACGUCUCUACAAGCUGAGACUACAAGGAGUAGUUGAUGCCAUUAAGCUUGAUACCAAAAGGUACGGUAAUGGGUUCAGAGGGAAGAUUGAUUUGUGAAGUCUAUAGAGAUGGUGUCGCAGUAUUUCGGGAGGCACCAUUAACCGAAGAUUUUUCACCCAUGAUAACUAUAGGUGAGAGGGAGGAGAAAAAUAGGAUCACAAAAAACUAGUGGCAAGAAGAAACAUCGAGAUUGGAGCGACGCUGUCGAGAACAGCACGGCACUGUUAGGAUAGACACUGGCUAUUGUAAUCCACAUUGCAAUAUGGUUGUAGAGCUAUGGAGGUGCAUUGGGGUCUGCAUUGCACUAUGGCUGCAUCAUUGUGGCAGUCGUCGGCGGCGCGGUGAUGGGUUAUGAGAGAGCUGCCACAAUCCUAAGAUCGCAACUCUGAUACCAACUUAUAAUAUGUUUAUUAGGGUAGAAUAAUUCAGAGAAAGUUUAUUCUUCUCUCUAGGAGGGUAUUUAUAUGUGUACAAGAAUACAACAAAAAGGAAAGUAAUUACAAUCCCAACUAAUACGGGAAUUCUAUAAUUAUAUUGGAUUACAAUUCCUAAUUUAAAUCAAUUACAUGAUUCACACCAACAGAUCCAUCAAUACGGAAACACUACCCAUACAGAUGAGAGCGGGUCAUUUAGGUGGUGGCUCCAACACUACCCAUACGGAUGAGAGCAGGUCGUUUAGGUGGUGGCUCCAGCAAUACAAAGACACCGCCUAUACCGAUGUGGGCUUGGCUCCACGUGUGGCCCAGUAUGUGAUGGUCACACGUGAGGGGGUGUGUUGAAAAAUAUAAGUCUCACAUCGAAUGAUUGGCUAAAUAAAAGACAACUUAUAAUAAGUUGUUCUACUCCUAAUAGCACCGAGCCCUUUUGUGAUAAAACCCUACACCUACAGGGUUCUAUAGGUGGUUAAGUUGGGACAAUAUUGGGGUUGCUAAUGGUGGGACACUGGCCUAUCUCUCUAAGUUUGACAAAUCGAUGAACCAUCUUUUAGGGUUUGCUCAGCAUCAUUGUCCAAUCCUAGGCUCUUCAGGGCAGCCGCUUGGAGAUAGAAGGCAGUUGGCCAUUCAGGGUGUCGUACAAGAGCCUGCAUCGCAUCUCCAAGAGCUUCUUGUGCCAUAUCACUCAUCAGGUAACACAAGCAACGUCUAGCAAACAACGUUCCCGAUUCAAUGCUCCCGCGAUCAAUGAACUGCAAUGAGAAGCAAGAGGAAAUCCAGCUCAGAGUUACAUGAUACGCAUAUAAAAUCACAUGAAGGUUGGAAACUUGUAACUUUUUGUCUGCAGAACAGAAACUUCAAUUUCUGUAACCCCUCCACUAAUAGUAUUCUAUAAACUAGAUGAAGAAGCAAAUUACAUUGUGUAAGUCCUGAUUUUGAUGGCAUAUUAAUGAUGACGAACAAAUUUUGUAGUUCUAAAUUUGUGAGUUCUGACUUACUUCUGUGUAAAAAUCUAUGGCGCUAGCAAAUUCUUUUGCUCGAAAUGCAGCAUCCCCAUUUUUCUUAAAGUUCAAUCUUUCUUGCAUUUGGUCUGUCCACAUUUGGAAAGAAAGCUGCAAGGUAACUCCAAAGUAAGGGCAGUGCGUUAAACAAACUCAACACAAAAAGUCUGCUCAUAAACGUAAAAGAACAAAAUUUGCUAGGAAACGGGGAAAACAAGUUAUUUUUUUCUCCCUUGGUAGAUGUCACAAAAUAAAAUGCAGAAAAAUCAGAAAUGAAAGAUCACUAACUUCAGUUUGAGCCUCCUCAUCUUCCUUGUAUCCAAUCAUCAGCAAUAUUUCAUGUAUUCUAGCAAGAUCUAAUCUCGAGCAAGCUUCACCUAGAGGUGACAACACUGUCUGCUUUGGAGGAAUAUUUCCAUGUGGAACACCCAUCAAAACGUAUGAUGGAACCUGCUCCAAAACACCAGCUGAGAUGAAAUAAUUCCUUUUUGGCACUCUCUUUGCAGAGAUAAUGCAACUUGGGCAAGUCAUAUUUCGAAAACAUAUGAAAAGAAAAUCAAAUUUUUGGUUACACUGCCUCGCUUAAUCAUAACCAAUUUCCCACUUAGCCAAAAACAAAUCAAAUUUGAAAGCACAUAACAAAUAAAGUUUGGCAUACCUCAGUUUGUUCUUGAAGAGGAACAAGUGCACUCACAAUAUACUUGAAAUUUGGCCUGUUAUGAGGUUCAUACUGCAAACAUUUGGAGGCUAACCGCACCAGCUCAGUACCGUCAUCAUUUGAGAAAUGACCUUCCAAGCAUGAGUCCAUCAGCAUCAAAAAAUUCUUGUCGCGUAUGAGAUCAAGUGCCUUGUAGAAAGAAAAAUUAAACAUUAUUUGCUAGAAGUUUAACCAGAACCCACAAUUGAUAACCAAUUAGCACUUAUUAUUAAUCAGGAAAUGCUGAGAACGAGACACAAUCACAUAGCCUUAUCGUAGAGAACAUUUAUAAUCACAAGUUACAUACAUGGACCAUAAGAUGUCAAGCAAAAUAUCAGGGCAACAAUUAAUGCAUCUCAAUCGAACAUACGAAGGAAAGGGAAACUCACAUGGCUUGGAGGGAUAUGUCUGCCACUGAGCAGAUUAAGCAACAGGGUCCCAAAGCUGUAAACCAUACUUUCUGGUAUCACUCUUCCUGAACAUGUACAGUUAGCUCAACUAAAGACUAUCGAUCAUGUAGAUCAACGCGUCAAAAGCUCAUGCAUGACAAGUAUGAGACUGAAUUUGAAAACCGUUUUUCCAUUGGCUGAAGCAAUGAUGGUAUGAAUUACCUGUCCUCAAGAACUCUGGAGGGGCGAAAGCCAAGUUGGGGUAGCUCUUGCCAUCUGUGCUAUAAUUGAUAAGGCCAAAGCAAGAGAGUCUGGGAUUUCCAUCCUGUCAAUGAAGUUCUGACUCAAUGUAAUGUCCAACAAAAGAUUAACAAAUCGAAAGGGUAAAAGGGUCCAAUUAAUUACCUGAUCAAACAUGACUCUAUAAGCAUUGAGAUCAUGGUAUAAUGCCUUCCCUUUGCUGCUGCAGCAGUCUAAAGCUUGUGCCACAUACAAAGCCACUCUCAUCCUCAUUGCCCAUGUCAUCGGCUGUGUCUCCCCUACACCAAAUAAACCAAUUUCAUCCCAUAAUUACUUCAACAAAAAAAGAAUUAAAAUUUUCUGUUGAUCUGUUUCCUCAAACUUAAGAAAGCAGAGGGUUGUUUAAUAUUAUUUUCAUCAAACGCAUACCAUCAUACGAUUAACACCGAUACGACAAAGCAAAAUAAGUUUAGUUGAAGAUUUUAGAACUUACACUGGAAAAGGUGCUUAAAGAGAGUUGCAUUUGGCAUGAACUCAGCCACAAGGAAUCUCUCAUCGUCCUCAACGCAACACCCGAUCAAAUUUGCCAAACGCUCGUUGCUUAGCCUCCCCACAGCUCUAGCUUCCUCCUAUAAGAGUUGUAACCAAACCCACCACAUAUAAGGUUUAUUCAUUUUUUUAUUUUAAAAAUAAUAAUAAGUAAAUUUAGUCAACUGCAAAUUUACGGACAAGAAAUGGGCGGGAAUCGGGCCAAGCGGAGAGGGUGUAGCGCUUAACAGCGAUCAAACGGCCGUCUUCCAGCUUCCCUUUGUAGACCACAUUGGGACCUUUCUCUCCAAGCUCAGAGACAACAUUAUGGGACGAGAAUCCUGACGUGGCAACUCUUAGUUGGUCCAAGCUGAACUCAGGCAGCCAGUACUUCUCGUUUUCCUUCCCAGCCUCUGCAUUUCAGGAAACCAAAAAAAAAGUGUGCAAAACUUUCUCGGGAAAGUAAGGGAAAACAACAAUACAAAAAAAUAAUAAUAAAAUAAAAACUCACCUAUGUCUUCCGAAUCAUUGAGGUUGGAUAUGUUAUUGGAUGGGCGGAAGCAAAGACAGAAUCUGGUUCCCAUUAAUGGAUGAUGAAGCAAGUCGUAGAGAGACAGAGAGAGACAGAGAGCUUGAAAUUUAAAACAUGUGCAUGUAUCUCGAAAGUUUUGGCUGUUUCUUGUAGACUUUAGUUUCCACCAGUUUCCUGGGUGCUACUAGGAGACUAAGGAGGAGAGAAAGGGGGUUGAAAUUCAUGGUCACCAUUAAUAUCAAGAUAUGAAAAGUCGUGUUAAUUAUACGCAUGACAAAUGAAAUGAAAUUCGUGUGGGAACGGAGACGCAGCCGAAAGACUCACAAAGUCAACAAGGGAAGCUUCCAUUGCAUUACUUACUAGCUAGCAAAUUACACUUUGAAUACGAUCAUAUCUCUUUGCGUUUUAUGUGUACAAGUCUCGUCUUCUUCCUCUACCCAAAAGUUUUAAACAAACAAAAAGGUCCAAACAAGUCAAGAGGAGGACUUGUCAUUCGCUUUAAUAAUAAUAGUCUUCGAGAGCAGGAAAUAUUAGCAAAUAGCUACGUGGGUAUCUUUGGGGUUUCCAACCUCAUACCACAUAGGAAUAAACUAUUAACCUCAUACCCUCGUCAGUAGCUACCUAUUCUUUAUAGGAAAAUGCUAGGCACUUAAAUAAUUAAAAGACAACGUGUCUAUGUAGCAAAAAAAAGGAUAUUGACUUGUACCCCAAAAAAAAAAAAGGAUAUUGACUAAAAAAAGAAAACAAACACAAAUGUGUUGUAAAGAAGAAAUAUGUGGAGUCCACAUUUAUGGGGCCCACAAAGAAAAUUAAGCAAAGUAUUUGGAGGUUUAUCAGCUGCACACUCACGGAUGUGUAUUGUAGAAUCACGGGUGCCAUUUAACAUCUCUAUAAAUAGAGAAAGAAGAAGAGAGAAAGAAAAGAAAAAGAAGAAGAGAGAAAGAGAUAGGAAACGGAAAGAAGAAAAAGAAGAAGAGAGAAAGAGAUAGGAAACGGAAAGAAGAAAAGAAAAAGAGAGAAAGAGAUAGGAAACGGAAAGAAGAAAAAGAAGAAGAGAGAAAGAGAUAGGAAACGGAAAGAAGAAAAGAAAAAGAGAGAAAGAGAUAGGAAACGGAAAGGAGGAAAGGAAAGGAGGAAAGAAGAGGGUAAGUAAGCAGAGAGAAAAUUCAGUGAGUCACACAUAUUGUAAACACUAUUGUAGUCAUAUUAUUAUAUAGUGAAAAGUUACUGUUGCUGCUCUCCGAGGACGUAGGCGUAGCCGAACCUCGUUAAAUACUGUGUCUCAUCUACUUUACGUGCAGCUCAAAAUUCGCACAUAUCCCAGGUUAUUUUAUAACACGUUAUCAGCACGAUAGUCUCUCCUUUUAUUUCUGAAAUUUUUCCAACUCAACACUAUAUAAUAUACUAUAUUUAUCUGUUUCUCUAUUACUAACCAUUAACAAAAAUGGACCCUUGGUAAUACUAAACAUAUUAUCAGUGGGAGACCGUUACUAAUACUAACUUUUUUUUUAUUCGGUGG